GCCAUUUUUCUUUACCUUCAUCCCCUUACACAAAGUCCAUUCUUAAGAUCUCUAGUUCUCUCUCAAUGGCUGCUAAAAGUUCCCGAGAUUCUUCUUCGUCCUCUUACCAGUGUUCCUAUCAUGCCUUCUUGAGUUUCAGAGGCCAGGACACGCGCAGGGGCUUUACUGAUCACCUCUAUAGAGCUUUGGAGCUAGCAGGAAUCCACACCUUUAGAGACGAUGAUGAAAUCAAGAGAGGGGAGAAUAUUGAGUCGGAGUUAGAGAAGGCGAUAAAGGAGUCACAAGUAUCCAUAAUUGUCUUCUCCAAGGACUACGCUUCCUCAAGGUGGUGUUUGAACGAACUUCUGAAGGUCGUGGAACGUAGAAAUACUGAUCGUAGACAUGUGGUUCUGCCAGUUUUCUAUGAUGUGGAUCCAUCCGAUGUCAGGAAGCAGAGUGGUACUUUUGCUGAAGCAUUUGCCAGACACGAGGAGCGAUUCAGUACGGAGGAGAUGGACAAGGUGGAGCUGUGGAGAAGAGCUCUUAGACAUGUUGCAAGUUUGGGAGGCAUGGUUUUAGGAGAUCGGUAAUUUCUAUUCUCAUUAUGUUCUCACGCUAAUUGAAAGUGUCUUUUAAAUUAAGUAAAAUUGUAGAUGGCAGUGAAACUUGAAGUUGUUCGCCUAUAUAUACUGCAACUUUGAUUUAUAUGUUCCUAUCGAUUCAAAUGAAUUACAGGUAUGAGGGGCAGUUCAUCCAAGAUAUUGUUGGAGAGAUUAGAAAUAAAGUGGAUCACGUAGCUUUAGACGUCGCUCCCUUUGCAGUUGGAAUGGAUGCUCGUGUGAGACGCCUAAACAUGUGGUUACAAGAUGGAUCAAAUGAUGUUGGUUUAGCUGUCAUCUGUGGGAUGGGUGGAAUUGGCAAGAGCACCAUCGCGAAAGCCGCUUAUAACCGCAACUUUGAUAGAUUUCAAGGUAGCAGCUUUCUUGCAGAUAUACGAGAAUCUUCAGAACAACCCAAUGGUUUUGCUCUCUUGCAAAGAAAACUUCUUUCAGAUAUCCAAAACGGGAAAGCAAAGAAAGUAUACAAUAUGGAUGAAGGAACAAUCAGGAUCAAACAAGCCGUAGGUUAUAAAAAAGUUCUUAUUGUUCUUGAUGAUGUGAGCAACCGGGAUCAACUCAAUGCAAUUCUUGGAAUGCGAGAGUGGCUUCAUUCAGGAAGUAAAAUUAUCAUAACAACUCGACAUGAACAUUUGUUAAAUGCUCACGAUGUUUUUGAAAAGUUUAUGGUUCAAGAACUGAAUGAGUACGAAUCACUUGAGCUUUUCAGUUGGCAUGCCUUCAGACAAUCCCAUCCGGAAGAAGGUUACAAGGAGCUUUCAAGACAUGUGGUGCAGCACUGUGGAGGGCUUCCUGUAGCUCUUCAAGUUCUGGGAUCUUCUCUAUCUGGAAAAAGUGUAGAAGUAUGGCAAAGUGCAUUGCAGAAGUUAGACGUGAUCCCUAAUGACAAAAUUCAAAAAGUUCUGAGGAUAAGUUUUGAUUCUUUACAGGAUGAUCAUGACAAAAAUUUAUUCCUUCAUAUAGCCAGUUUCUUCACAGGAAAGACGAUGGAUUAUACAAGUACAAUGUUGGACAGCUUAAAGUUUUACACAAGGAUUGGGAUUGAAAAUCUAGUUGACAGAUGCCUAGUGAAAAUUCAAGGCUCGAACAGGUUGUUGGUCAUGCAUCAAUUGGUGAGAAACAUGGCAAUGGAAAUUAUUUGUGAAGAAUCACCUGAUGACCCUGGAAAACGUAGUAGAGUGUUGCAGAAAGAUGCCUCUAAUAUUUUGAGAAAAUUAAGUGUAAGAACUAUGUUUUCAUGUAUAUGUAUUUUUAGUUAUGAUUUGUUGUCCAGUACUAGUUAUAUACUUAUUCAAUGCUCUGAUUUGUUAGCAGGGUACGGAAAAUAUUAAGGGCCUCAUGCUUAACCUUGCUAGCAAAAUAACGUUUGUUGGAUGUCAUAAAAAACGAUGCCAUGAUGAAGAUUAUGAUGGAAAUUGUUCAAGACGACGUCGUCUUGGUUUCUUCUCUUGGAAGCCAGUUAGCUUUCCGUCCACAAACUCAGCUUCUGCAUCAAAUGAGAUAGAUUUCAAAUCUGAGGCGUUUAGAAGGAUGCACAAUCUUGAAAUUCUCAUGCUCAACAACGUCAACGUCAGGGGAAGCUACGAAGAAUUUCCAAAAAGUUUAAUAUGUUUAUCUUGGAGAGGAUUCCACUUAAAAUCAGUACCAGAAAAUUUUUAUUUGGAAAACCUGGUUGUUCUUGACAUGCGAAAUAGUAGCCUACAACAUGUUUGGAAUGGGAUCAGGGUACGUAACUCUCUCUCUCUCUCUCUCUCUCACUCACUCUCACACACACUUUCUCUCACACAUGUCCAUUAUAUCUUCUUAGAAAUUGAUUAAUACUUCUUAUUGAAAACAGUUCUUUCCGAGGCUGAAGAUUCUUAAUCUCAGUCAUUCGCAUGGCCUUAGGACAACCCCUGACUUCUCAGGACUCCCUAACCUUGAGAGAUUGAUUCUUAAACAUUGCAUAAAUUUGGUUGAGGUUGAUGAGUCCAUCGGAUACCUAGAGAAACUUGUUGUUUUGAAUCUAGAAGGCUGCAAAAAUCUCAUGAAGCUUCCAAAAUUGAGAUCUAUUCAGGAUCUUAUUCUUUCUGGUUGCUCAAAGCUUGUGCUUGGUGCCAAUACGACUGCCACAACUGGUCACUUACAAUCUACAGCUUGUGAAUUGAAGAAACUCAAUCUGCUAUCAGCUAAAUCAUGGUAUUCAAUCUGGUCGCGGGUGUCCCCAAGAAAAAAUAUUGAACCAAGCAGUUUCUCAUUGGCAAGUUUACCACAUUCCUUGACAAGUUUAAGUCUGGAUAGCUGCAAUCUAUCAGAGAUUCCGAGUGCCCUUACUAUGCUGUCUUCGUUAGAGUACUUGGAUCUGAAUAAGAAUCCAAUUACAAGCCUACCAGAGAGCAUGAACAAUCUUGUUAAGCUUCACACUCUUGCAGUAGAUGGUUGCAGAAACCUCACAAUGCUUCCAGAGCUCCCACAUAGUUUGAAACAAUUGAAUGGUAGAGGUUGCACAUCAUUGAAAAGAAUAACAAAUUUACCGAACUUGCACAUAUUACCGGCCACACAUCCCUUCGGCAUGCAAAAGGACAUAGAUUUAAAGUAUUACAACAUAUUAUUGGACUCAAAUUUAUGGUAUUGUGGGAAACUAGUUGAUGUUGUAAGCUUGUUUAAUACACUACCAUUGAGCAGCUUUGACAUAAAACUCCUCAAAGAUAUCGAUCUAUUCGAUUUGAAACCCAACGGUGGCGUUGAGGUCCAAAGGAACAGCGAUUGUGCAAGUUUUGGCAAGCCCAGGCGCUCCAAGGUUCUUCUCUCUCUCUCUCACUGCUAUGUACAAGUGCUUAUAAUAUGAUCUAUGGCGUAAACAAUUAGAUUGUAAUCACAUCACCAUGAAACUGCAGGGAACUUUUGAAUGCGGCAUAUUUAGCAUAUUUGUCCACGAGAGCAAGAUUCCAGAUCGGUUCAAUUACAGGAGCAUGGGUAACAGUGUGUUCUCUAUUAUUGUUCCUUCACAGCCUAAUAUCAAGAUCGUAGGUUUAAAUGCAUGUAUAUUGUAUGCCCGGCAAUCGGAUCGAAGCCCUGAGAUUGCACUUGGAAACUAUCAUUUCUAUUCGCUUGAACUUAGGAAUGAGACAAAGGGCCUUAAGUGGCGUUUACCUAUGUUCAAUGAGGUUGAAUGGAGGGUGAUGAACGAAGAUAUGUUAUGGCUAAGCCAUUGGAUUAUGGGGAACGAUGAAUUGGAAUGCGGGGAACAAGUGCGUUUUGAAAUAAUCGGAGUGCAAGACGGUUUCGUCACAAAGGAGAUUGGAGUCCAGUUUGUGUACGAGCAGCAAAAUAAGGAUAAGGAGGAUGUCCCAUCAAGUAGUGAAGAUCCAAUGAUCCUACCUGACAGAUCGUUUCGGGUCUGGAGCAAAGUAUCGCCUUGGCACUGGAGCGUAGGUUUCGCUGGAAGGGGUGGCCCUAUUGGGAGAGAGACCGGGGUGGAAUACAUCCAUAACAAUGAGAAGAAAGUUAUUUCAACUGUCAUGUGCGCGGCUCAAUACAUUCUCUGUAACCAUGAAGUGAUCGAUCUUGAGAAUGAAUCCCGCAUGACCCCGUAGUAACAACGAGUGCUCUAAACUAUUACCCAGUUUAAUUCAAAUUGAUGGUGAUGAUGCACAAAUCACUAAAUUCAAAUGUGUAUUGGUUGUUAUGCUUCGUUUCUAUCUAUUUUCAAUUUUUCCCUAAAAAAUUGUUUUCAAUAAUUUAAUAUACAAAAUUUCAUACCAAACAAAUUCUUGCCUGUAUAAAGUAUGAAUUUAAAACCUGUUUUUAAGAAAAAUAAAGUUUCAGACCCCAACUAGAAAAUAAGCCCACGAGUUGUGGCGGGAACUAACUGUUUCAGGCGUAACUGCGUGAAUAAGACACAUUUCACAUGUAACUGAAUAAAUAAGACACAAAGUGCAGGAAGUAAAGCUCAUAUUUAGCAGUGUUAUUUUAACAACAAUUGUUCAAGUGGUGGAUUGCCCCCGGUGGGUUGGGCAUUUCUCUUAGUCCUACUGCAUUCCGGGUUCAAAGUUCCAACCAUCCCCCGUACCAGUUUAAGCACACCAAAGACCAAAUUUAGCAUGUUCUUUCGUCAUCCACCCAACCCCAGCAGAUAUACAAAAUUCAAAUAGAACUUGGCAAAUUCAUCCUCUUAAAAUACAAAACGAAAAUAAUUUAUGAUCACUGACCUCUGAGAAUCGAAUGAUAUUCGGAUUCUUCAAUGAUCUGUGGUUCUUGAUUUCCCCUUGAACAUGUUCAUCCAUCUGCAUCACCAAAAAAAAAAGUAUAUUUAAAAAAAAAUACAAAAUGAAAAUAGUUUAUGAUCACUAACCUCUUUGGAUCGAAUGAUAUUCGGAUGGUCCAGUGAUCUAUAGUUCAUGAUUUCCCUUUGAACAUGUUCAUCUAUCUGCAUCACCAAAAAAAUAAUAAAUAUUUAAAAAAAAAUACAAAAUUUAAAGGAUAAGAAUUGCGAAGAUUCUUAGGUCUUAGUUCGAAAUGUAAUAGCUCAUCUCACCUCCAUAUAUUACCAAAUCUUAGUCUAUAUGAUUUUGCCAGAGCCACCGAAUGUUGAAUAUAUAUCUGUUGAAUGUUCUACUACCAUCAACAUUAUAAAGGUUUCUAAUCGAAUCAUAUAUUUAAAAUCCAAGCAUGAAAGUUUUACAAAGAUAAAUAAACAAAUGUAAAUAACUAAUUAGGCAAUACACAGCAGAGAGGGGAGAGAGAGAGAGAGAGAGAGAGCAAUUGAAGGGAAUGCAUAGUUAUCUCUAUCUUCGGAAAAAAGAAAAGAAAAAAAGAGAGCAGUUGAAGGAGUGAGAAGCAAAGCAGCAUACCAAGUGGAGGGUAAGCAAUUAAGCAUAGUCAUCUCACGUACGGAUUGCCUGAGAACUGAUCUUUGCUUCUCUUCCUUAUGAUCCUCUUAAAUGCAAUUCUACACAUUUCUAAACCAAAAUUGCAAAGCAGAAUUCAAAGAAAUUUAAAGAAAUCUAGUAAAGAUUCAAACUUUUUUAUUAUCCAAAAGAUGUACAUAACCCCAUGUAACAAAAACAAAUUUAUGACACAAAAGAAAUUAUCUUUAGCCAACAAAAGCAAAAAAGAGAAAGAGAGAGAUUUUGCUUUUUGCACUAUGCAGAAUGUGCAGAGAAUCAAAAUAUCAUAACCCAUUUAACAACAUGAUAUUUUAGGCAAAAAGGCAUCACCUUUAGACCCCAAAUGAAAGAAUUUGAGAGAGAGCGCAUACGUGGUUGCCAAGAAGAGGAAGAGAGCAAUUCUAUUUCCUGUAAAAAUGAAGAAACAGAGCAUUAACAAACACACAUGCACAAAUCUCAAAAGGAAAUUGGUAAGAAAUAAUCGUAAUUGAGAAAAUAAUCAAAAAACUAGAGAGCACACAACUGGAGUCUAAUUCUACAGAACCCACGAGUCGACAAACAAAUAUCCAAAAUUAACAGAUUACAGUAACAACAUUCCAACAAAAGUAAGAAGACCAGAAAAAUUAUCUAUUCUAAAGUACAUUAGUUCCAUCAUGCAUAAAUCAAGGGAGUCACGGAAGGCCAGUAUCUUAAGGUAAUCCAACAUGUUAAAGCAUCCAAACAGAGACUCAGAAUUACAAAACGCAUGAAAAUUCACAUUCCAACGUGUUAUGGAAUCACCAAUUUCAGAUCAACCAAAAUCAAAUAAAUUUAUAUCAGUACGCAUCAAACCCACCAAACCCAAAAUCAAAAGAAGGUGAUCAAAUGUUUGAUUUUGCUAAAUAUUACAAAAUAAAAUAAAUAAGAAUAUGUACAAAUCAACAUGCAUACCUUGUAGCGGUGCAGGGAACAGUAGCGUGAGCUGCAUCGAGGGCAUGUGUACUGGGAAAAUUGCUACUGGCAGCUGCAACUAACAAAAACAAAAACAAAACAAAAUUGAAUAAAAUCAAAAUCGGAAAAAUUUCCAGAAAAUAAAUAAAACAAAUUAUCAAGCUUUGUUGAUGAAAGAGAGGUGGGGUUGGUGAAGAACAUACACGCGGCUAUGAGCAGUAGACAAAAGAUUUCAAAAUGAUUUCUUCACUUUUCAAUCAGGACAUGCACGAAUAUAAAAAUGGCAGAGAGGAUUAAAACCAUACCAAACACUAGAAAAUCAAGUAUAAAAAUCGUACUUACCUUGUGAAUGAGGACAUGCAGACACAUGAUGGAUGAAGGACAGCAAAUCCCGCAUACACGAACCUAACUUGCCACUGUUCGCCACCCCCACCCCUCCCUAUCUCUCUCUCCCUGCAAUCGCGACGAUUUCUGUCACUGUCACCCUCCCACUCCCGAAUCGAAUAUCCGCACGAAAUCUCUCUCUCUCUCUCUCUCUCUCUCUCUCUCUCUCUCUCUCUCUCUCUCUCUCGCUCGGUUUCUCUCACUGUCACCCUCCCACUCCCGAAUCGAAGAUCCGCACGAAAUCUCUCUCCCUCUACAAGCGGCAUGGCCGCUGUCCCUCUCUGUCUGCCCUCACCAUCAAUCCCAAUCCCAAAAUUAAGAUGACAAAAGUGCCCUGCAACCCUUUAAUUCUAGCCGCGUGAUCCUAACCCUAGAUGAAUAUUUCUGGAAUUUGAACACCCAAAGUAUCUCAUCAAAUGUGGAUGUACCCACAGUAUGAAUCUGAGAAUUUCUCAAUUCAACUCUCGAAAUUACUGUGACAGUAUUAAUAUAUCAUGUGGAAUGAGGUGGUAUUAUGGUAAAAGAUAGAACUUUAGCUGAUGGUAAACAACAUUUGGGAAUUUGAUGUAAGCCGGCUGGGAAUCCCAAAUGUUGUUUACCAUAAGCUAAAAUUUAAUCUCUGAUUAAAAAAAUAAUAAUAAAAAGCACACCUCAAACUGACAAGGACCAUAAUUUUCAAGUGACACUGCUUUUCAAUGGUUACCAUAAAAAAAAUAAUAAUAAAAGAACUGAUCAUUUGAAUUAUUCAUGACAGAACCAAUUUUGAUUUGAAAUAUGAUGGCCAAGAACAAAUCACACUGCUUUUCAAUGGUUACCAUAAAUUUUCAGAAGUUACAGAAGAUUUUUUUAUCAAAUGAAAAGACAAUGGUCACAUAUAUCUACAAUUAACCACCAGUAAGCGUGAAAUAUUACAUCACAAUGCAAUAGCAGCUAUACAGGAUGCCAUGCCAUUCAUACUAUGACAAAUCACAAAAGUGACAAUUAAAGGGCACCUAACAGACACCCCCAUCUCUCUCUCUGCAAUAGCAGAAAUCCCUCGGGUUUCAGAAAGCAAAUGGAAAACAAAAUGCUUUUACAUCCCCUACCCAUACCCAUACCUCCCUUUACCCGUUCCCUUUACCCUCGCAGAAAAUCCUCCCAUCUCUCUCUCACCCUUGUCCCAUCUCUCUGUCUGCAAAUCGCAGAAAAGAAACCCUGAACAAAUCACUUAAAUCCCUCGCCUAAAUCCUCCCACAUUUCUCUCAGACACCCCCUAUCUCUCUCUCUUUGCAAACCCUAAACCAAAUCUCCUAAAUCCUAUCUCGGACACCCCACACAAAGCCAAGAAGCCAAGAUAUUAAAGCAAUCUCUACAUAAUACUAUGGAACAAUGAAGCAAAAUGGUACUUACUUGUUCCUUGUCCAAAACCGUUGGUGCCACCGCACAUUGUUAUCAAUUGUGGGUUGAUCAAAUCCUUCAUGGCUUAGACUGCAUGAAGAAUUAGAAACUAAAAGAUGAAUAUAUGCUGUAAAUCAUCAUAUAAAUGUAAUUGCAUUUAAAAAAAGAAGGGAAUGAAAAAAUUGAAUUCUAUUUCAUCAGUAUGUAACUGCAUGAAAAGUUACAUUGAAUGCAAACUCAAUCAAUUUCCCCAAAGUCAUUGUUAACUGAAAAUCAAUACCAAACCCAUAUAUACCACCAUUGAAUUUGCGAAACCCAAAAACAAAAUACAAAAAUUUACUCAUAUAAUCACAGAAAAACAUGAAAUUUGAGCACACAUUUGGCAAAGUUAAAGGAUAAAGGCACUCACAUCAUCGUAGUACUCUUUGGGAAGAUCUUCUAAUACUGGUUCUUCCUUUUUCUUGCUCUUCCUCAGAGCUGCCAUAAAAAAACCCAGAGAAGCACACAAAUUCAGAAAAGAAGAGGUCCAAAACUGCCAUAAAAAAUCCAGACAGCAUACAAAUUUAUCAGAACAAAAACCAAAUGAUGUGAGUGAUAGUGAGAGAGGUUGUGUUAGGCACCUGAAACACGUUUUGGUUUCAAUUGAAACGGCCAGAGCGUUGCAUGUGAGGAAGAUGACGAUAGGAUAUCCACAUUCUUUUUUCUUGGGUGAACUAACCAAACCAUAUUAUAUACUAAAACGACAUAAAAAAUCAUUAACAAAAUCACAACAAAAUAGAACAAAAACAUUCACAAAAGAAUUCCCCAAGUUUUCAAAUGGAAAUUAAACAUUUACAUAGCUUAUAUAAAAAGCCAAAAUAUAAAAAAUUAAUCAAAAGGUUGAGAUAACUCACAUCCCAGUAAUGCUUAUUGCUGAUAUUAACACCCACUGACAGCAGCCCUCGGUUUGUGGAAUUCCCACGCCCAACUCCAUGACCUCUCUCUCUGCCAUCCCUCUCUCCCUCACAACCAUACCCACUUUCGACCCACCCCUCAAUCCCGACACCAACCCUUGAUUUAAGGAGGAAAAAUCAAUACAACCACCCUUUUCGCAAGCCUCACUCCUCCCGCUCCCUUCCCCUCCCUGCCAAUCCCAUGCCCAUCUCCCUUGUUGUAGCUCUGCAACCCACGUUUUUUGGCACCAAACACUAUGUCCUAGGAUGAUGUGACAAUUUAUCAAAGUCAGAAAAUGCAUUAUCUCAGUUUAGGUUGGUAGCAUAUAUGAUCCCCGUGCAGCAACAUAGAAUACUUAGUAAAAGUUGCAUUUCUGAGAACAAAUAACCAAGAUGCUUGACCGAAAAAACAAUGCAGAUGCUUUAGUAAUACAGAAUUACAGUUUUAUUCAAGCUUCUCAGUCACAAACUAACCUUCCUUUGUCGAGCAGCAAGGAAGAGGGGGCGAAAAUUGAUUCCUGGAUGAGCUUUUUCGUUCAAAACUAAGUCGAGCUGCAAGGACGAAGGGUCGAGGAUUGUUCGUGAGCUGGUGUUGCGGAUAUAAACAUAUAGAAAGCUCCACUGUGUCAUAACAAACACAAAUCAAAUAUGAUCACCAUGUCACAUUAAUUACCUAAAAUUCAAAAUGUUAUAUACAUUAGUAUGUUGAACAAAACUCCGCCUAUGUAAGUUUAUCUUACAUUGCCGGUCCCAAGCCCGGAUAAAGGAGGAGGGGGAGGGCGUCAGGUAGUCGACAGCCGGCACUCCAUGAUCACGUCGAAUCCUUAUGAAAAUGAAUCCAGAACGAAAUCGCGCUAAAGCUAGGGCGUCACCCGUAAGUGGCGCGCUGUGUAGCCCGAGCACAGUGAUAAGUGAGCAAGGGUCGCUGUAUCUCCAUCGGCACCCGGAUACAGUGUUAAAUGAGCAAGGGGGCCAUAGAAACUUCUUUUCGAACGACUCCACUCAAAGUUGUUUGGGAGCAUAUGCUCCUAUCAACUUUACACGGGACACACAAAAGAAGUACUUUGAUCCUAUUAGACGGGAGAGGGUGAAGAAGCUAGGACAGAAGGGUAGAGUUCAAGAGAGCAAAAUGCGUUUAGGAACGUGGAAUAUAGGAACCUUGACGGGAAAAUCUAUGGAAGUAGUGGAAGUUAUGGUGAGGAGAAGGAUAAAUAUUAUGUGCCUACAAGAAACUAAGUGGGUUGGUCGUAAGGCAAAGGAUCUAGAAAACUCAGGGUUUAAACUAUGGUAUUCGGGCACAAAUAGAACGAGAAACGGUGUUGGCAUCAUCGUGGACAAGACCUUGACACAAGAUGUUGUAGAUGUCAAGAGGGUAGGAGAUAGAAUCAUGGCAAUCAAGAUUGUAAUAGGACAAGAACUUAUCAAUGUGAUUAGUGCGUACGAACCUCAAGUAGGGUUGGAUACGAGUUCGAAGGAGAAAUUUUGGGAAGACCUUGGAGACUUGGUGCGAGGAAUUGCUCAGACGGAGAAGUUAUUUAUAGGAGGAGAUUUAAAUGGACACGUGGGCAGGGAGACAGGCAACUAUGGAGGUUUUCAUGGUGGCCAUGGUUUUGAGGAGAGAAACGAGGAUGGGGAAGCUAUCUUGGAUUUUGCAAUGGCAUAGAGGAGGGGGAGGGCGUCAGGUAGUCGACAGCCGGCACUCCAUGAUCACGUCGAAUCCUUAUGAAAAUGAAUCCAGAACAAAAUCGCGCUAAAGCUAGGGCGUCACCCGUAAGUGGCGCGCUGUGUGGCCUGAGCACAGUGAUAAGUGAGCAAGGGUCGCUGUAUCUCCAUCGGCACCCGGAUGCAGUGUUAAAUGAGCAAGGGGGCCAUAGAAACUUCUUUUCGAACGACUCCACUCAAAGUUGUUUGGGAGCAUAUGCUCCUAUCAACUUUACCCGGGACACACAAAAGAAGUACUUUGAUCCUAUUAGACGGGGGAGGGUGAAGAAGCUAGGACAGAAGGGUAGAGUUCAAGAGAGCAAAAUGCGUUUAGGAACGUGGAAUAUAGGAACCUUAACGGGAAAAUCUAUGGAAGUAGUGGAAGUUAUGGUGAGGAGAAGGAUAAAUAUUAUGUGCCUACAAGAAACUAAGUGGGUUGGUAGUAAGGCAAAGGAUCUAGAAAACUCAGGGUUUAAACUUUGGUAUUCGGGCACAAAUAGAACGAGAAACGGUGUUGGCAUCAUCGUGGACAAGACCUUGGUACAAGAUGUUGUAGAUGUCAAGAGGGUAGGAGAUAGAAUCAUGACAAUCAAGAUUGUAAUAGGACAAGAACUUAUCAAUGUGAUUAGUGCGUACGCACCUCAAGUAGGGUUGGAUACGAGUUCGAAGGAGAAAUUUUGGGAAGAUCUUGGAGACUUGGUGCAAGGAAUUGCUCAGACGGAGAAGUUAUUUAUAGGAGGAGAUUUAAAUGGACACGUGGGCAGGGAGACAGGCAACUAUGGAGGUUUUCAUGGUGGCCAUGGUUUUGGGGAGAGAAACGAGGAUGGGGAAGCUAUCUUGGAUUUUGCAAUGGCAUAUGAUCUCUUCUUAGCCAACACCUUCUUUAAGAAGAGAGAAGAACAUGUGAUCACCUACAAGAGUGGGUCGUCAAAAACACAAAUAGAUUUUCUUCUAAUGAGGAAAGGGGAUCGUAUAACUUGUAAGGAUUGCAAAGUUAUACCAGGAGAGAGCGUGGCUAAUCAACAUCGCUUGUUGGUGAUGGAUGUACAUAUCAAAAGAGUAAGACAAAAGAACAAGACUUGGAAGUGCCCAAGGACUAGAUGGUGGAAUCUAAAAGAAGAAAAAACAAGCCAUUUUCAAAAGAGAAGGUAAUCACCCAAUGUGUGUGGGAUAGAGAGGGGGAAGCUAGCCAAAUGUGGAAUUCCAUGGCUAGUUGUAUCCGAAAAGUAGCAAAAGAGGUAUUAGGAGAGUCCAAGGGCUUUGCCCCACACCAAAAGGAAUCUUGGUGGUGGAAUGAGGAGGUACAAACAAAGGUGAAGGCUAAGAAGGAAUGUUGUAAAGCCUUAUACAAGGAUAGGACCGAUGAAAAUGGUGAAAGGUAUAGAAAAGCGAAGCAAGAGGCGAAGAAAGCUGUCAGAGAAGCUAAGUUAGCGGCUUACGACGAUAUGUAUAAACGACUAGAUACCAAAGAAGGAGAGUUGGAUAUCUAUAAACUAUCUAGAGCAAGGGAAAAGAAGACAAGGGACCUAAACCAAGUGAGGUGCAUCAAGGAUGAGGAUGGAAAGGUUCUUGCUACAGAGAACGCGGUUAAAGACAGAUGGAGAGGUUAUUUUCAUAAUCUUUUCAAUGAAGGACAUGAAAUGAGUGCUUCUUUAGGGGAGUUGAGUAACUCAGAAGAGUGUAGAAACUACUCUUUUUAUCGUAGAAUCCGGAAGGAAGAAAUGGUUGUAGCUUUGAAGAAGAUGAAGCAUAGAAAAGCAGUAGGCCCAGACGAUAUACCAAUCGAAGUGUGGAAAGUUUUGGGAGAGACAGGUAUAACAUGGCUCACUGACCUUUUCAAUAGGAUUUUGAAAACGAAGAAGAUGCCAAAUGAGUGGCGAACGAGCACUUUGGUGCCUAUCUACAAGAAUAAGGGCGACGUACAAAAUUGCAUGAACUAUAGGGGUAUUAAGCUAAUGAGUCAUACAAUGAAGCUCUGGGAGAGAGUCAUUGAGCAUAAAUUGAGGCAAGAGACACGGGUUUCGGAUAACCAAUUCGAGUUCAUGCCAGGGCGCUCAACCAUGGAGGCAAUCUAUCUCUUACGAAGAUUGAUGGAAAGAUAUAGAGAUGGGAAAAAGGAUUUACACAUAGUCUUUAUAGAUUUGGAAAAAGGAUUUUAGAGAAAGGAGUACGAGUAGCAUAUAUCCAAGCUAUAAAGGAUAUGCAUGAAGGAGCAAAGACUGCCGUAAGAACUCAUGAAGGACAAACCGAAAGCUUUCCCAUAACUGUAGGAUUACAUCAAGGCUCAUCCUUAAGUCCUUACCUUUUUGCGUUGGUAAUGGAUGAGUUAACAGGACAUAUUCAAGAUGAUAUUCUUUGGUGUAUGCUUUUCGCAGACGAUAUAAUGUUGAUAGAUGAAACUCGGGAAGGGGUAAAUGCAAAGCUUAACCUUUGGAGAGAAGUGUUGGAAUCUAAAGGUCUUCGCCUAAGCCGAGCAAAGACAAAAUAUAUGGAGUGCAAGUUCAAUGCAAAUGGAGGCCAAAACGAGUUAGGGGUGAGGAUCGGAGAUCAAAAAAUACCAAAGAGCGACCGUUUUCGUUACCUAGGAUCUAUCUUGCAAAAGAACGGAGAAUUAGAUGGAGAUCUCAACCAUAGAAUACAAGCUGGAUGGAUGAAGUGGAAGAGUGCAUCCGGCGUGUUGUGUGACCGCCGUAUGCCACUGAAGCUCAAGGGAAAAUUUUAUAGGACGACAAUAAGGCCGGCGAUGCUGUAUGGCACAGAAUGUUGGGCGGUGAAGCAUUAACACGUACACAAAAUGGGUGUAGCGGAGAUGAGGAUGCUUCGUUGGAUCUGUGGGCACACGAGAAAUGAUAAGAUUAGGAAUGAGGAUAUCCGGGGUAAAGUAGGAGUAGCCGAAAUUGAAGGAAAGAUGAGAGAAAAUCGGUUACGAUGGUUUGGACAUGUGCAAAGAAGGCCUACUGACGCUCCGAUUAGAAGAUGCGACUAUGGGACAGAGGUUCAGGGCCGAAGGGGUAGAGGAAGACCUAGGAAAACUUUGGAAGAGACCCUAAGAAAAGACUUAGAGUACUUGGAUCUAACGGAGGACAUGACACAGGACAGAACACAAUGGCGUUCUAAGAUUCAUAUAGUCGAUCCCACUCAGUGACUUGGAUUUUCCAAGUCUCCAACCGAGAAGUUUUCCUCACUCGGGAAAUUAAGGGAACACUACCUCAACCUACAUGCUCCACUCACAAAGCUUCAACAUACAAGCUUCAACAAAAGAAAAUUCAAAUAACUUAGCGAAGAAGGCUUUGGUGUAUUUAACACAAUACGUUGAAAUGAAGGAAAACUUAUUUAUUGAUAGCCCUGAUAAGUUACAAAUAUGUACAUAUACAUGAGUCAAAAUAAACAAACAAGAGGGAGCCUUCACAAAGGUCGCUUAGGAGAAGUCUCAGCAGUCGGUAGAGCCCCAGAAAGAAAAGGCACCGGAGGGGGAUCAUUCGGAGCCUCAGUACUGGACAGAACCCUAGAAGGAGGAGGCAUCAGAGGUUGAUCACUUGGAGCUUCAUUACGCGGUACAGCCCCAGAAGACGAAGGCAAUAAAUGCCUUUGGAACAAACCCACAAAUCUCUGAUGAUCAAGUAAAACCUGACCAUCAGAUUCUUUCAUCUGGUCAAGCUUCCUCUUCAUGUUUGUAGCAUAGUCAUGUGCGAGCCGGUGCAACUAUUUAUUCUCAUGCUUGAGCCCUCUAAUCUCCUGUUUGAGACUCAUCACUUCAGCCGCCAAUGAUUCAACUUGGCGGGUUCGAGCAAAUAGGCGUUGGGCCAUAUUAGACACAGAACCUGCACACUGAACACUGAGAGCCAGAGAAUCCUUAACAGCCAACUCAUCAAACCGUUUGGAAAGUAGUCUGUUAUCUUUGGGAGUGAGAACGUUCCUGGCCACUAUCGCAGCGGCCAUAUCAUUCUUCAUCACGGAAUCCCCAACGGUAAGAGGACCAGUAGGGGAGAUGAAGGAUGGGCGCCAUAUGUUGUUUGGAGAAGGCGGGGCUGCCUCUUCAACAAGGUUCAAGUCAAAACGACGGUCGGAGGGGCCAGACAUUUUCAAAGGUGUUGAAGAGAGAAGAGGUCGGACAAAUCAAGAUCUUAGAAGUGCAAGAAUGAAGCUUCUACUGGUGAAGAUUCAAGUGUGCUUUGGAACUUAAUGCUAGCCUCUAUAAAAAUCUGCACUAGACGAAGCUUCAGAAAUCGAAGAGGUGCCUGCUCAGAAAUCGAAGAGGCAUUUGCUUUCUCAAAAGCUGGGCUGCUCAGAGACCACGAGGGUCGACCUCAGAAAUCGAAGAGACGUUUGCUUUCUCAAAAGCUGGGCUGCUCAAAGACCACGAAGGCCGAUCUCAGAAAUCGAAGAGGCUUGCUUUCUCAAAAGCUGGGCUGCUCAGAGACUACGAGGGCCGAUCUCAGAAAUCGAAGAGGCACAUACUUUUCCAGCCUUGUCAACACCUGUCACACGCACACUCAGCUUUGCGGAAAUUAUUGGCAUUCUGUCGAAGAUUUCUGAUGAAGUAGAAAGCACAUGAAUCGUACUGUUCAAUCACCCACUUCCCACACGCAACAGUAGCUCGAGGGUACCACAGAUAACUUUGCCAAAGUUAUCUGACAAAGUUGAGACACGUGAAGCUUACAGCUCCCACUACAUCGCUCUGGCCAAGAAGGGUAAAAGAAUAACAAAGAAACAACACUAACAAAGUUUAGACACAUAAAUUUUGAAGGUCUAGCUACCAUAUUAUUACCCACAAGGGUAAAGGAACAGUACCAUUGCUAGAUAAUUGGAAGGUCCCGGUGUGUCAACCUCUGUACUUCGUGGCACGAUAGACUAGCAAACAUGCAUAACCUUUACUCACAUUCGAGAAAACACUUCCAACAAGAUUGCUUGCUCCAAUAUCGAAGAGGCACCGCCUUCCGAAUCUCGAGAGCCAGACUCCCAACAUGAUUACUUUCUCAAAAAUCGAAGAGAGGGUAAAGGAACAGUACCACUGCUGGAUAAUUGGAAAGUCCCUGUGUAUCAACCUCUGUGCUUCGUGGCAAUGUAGACUAGCAAACAUGCCCAACCUUUACUCACAUUCGAGAAAACGCUCCCAACAAGAUUGCUUGCUCCAAAAUCGAAGAGGCACCGCCCUCCGAAUCUCGAGAGCCAGACUCCCAACAUGAUUACUUUCUCAAAAAUCGAAGAGACACCGCUAUCCGAAUCUCGAGAGCCAGACCCCCAGCAGGAUUGCUUUCUCAAAAAUCGAAGAGGCAUCAUUCUCCGAAUCUUGAGAGCCAGAUCCCUGACAGGAUUGCUUGUUCGAAAACCGAAGAAGCACCACUUUCCCAACUUCAAGAGCUGGAUCUCCUUAGAUAAAGCUUGUCUGUAAUCUUCACACGCAACAUCAGCUUUCCAGAUACCACAGACCACUUUUUCAAAGUGCUCUGACAGAGUUAAAACAUGUGAAGCUGGCAGCUCCCACUACCGUGCUAUGACCAAGCAGGGUAAAGGAAUAGCAUUAUUACUUGAUGUUAGGGAGACUCAUAUAUAUGUCGACCUCCAUCCCCAAUGGACAGGCAGACCUGCAAAAAUGCUCAACCCUUCCUCUUAUCUGAGAGGGCACUCCCAACAAAGCCUUUCGAAAUAUUCAGCUUUCUUUCUUCCCGAUAAUACCUCUGCAAACAAGCUAUACUAGAGCAAGAAUAUCUCAUAUCAUCAGGGUUAAAAGCAAGAGUAUCCCAUAUCAUGCUUUUUCCCUGUCUUUUCCUUUGACCUUGUUCUUACCUGCAAAACAAGGAGAAAGAGAGCAAUCAGUCAGCACUUGGAAUCAAGCUUCCAGCCAGGAACUGACUGCCUGGAACCCCUUACCUGAGUACUUACCUGGCAUUGCUCUCGAGUACUCAUCUUCAACAUCUUAUGCUUCCAGGGAAGAUACCGCAUCUGCUUGAGGAACAGAUAGGGCAAGUGAGAAGGAUACAAAGAAGCAUGUGGAGACAAGCGUAACAGCACACGUGCCAAUACAUCCACUACUCUGUCAAAAGCAAAAGUAUCCCAUAUCAGCAGGGUCGAACGUACUCUAGAUUUGAUGGACUUGUUUUGACCCUCAAAUUCUUCAGUCGGCCUUAUACUUUGGAGGAAACCAAAAAACCCUCCAGCCCAGUUCAAGAAUAAGCCUGUGGAAAGUUACUUCUUCAAAAGCAAAAGUAUCCCAUAUCAUCUCUUCUCAUUUUUCUUCUCUUUAUCCUUCAUGCUGCCUGCAAGAUAGGGAGAAUGUGAACAAUCAGCCGGAGCUCUGAUUGCUUACCUUGUCUGUCACCUCUUUCAGCAGAUCCCCUAGCUCGGCGACUUGGGGGACUCCUACUACAUGGUUUGUAUCGCGCUUGACCAAGCCUGAAAUUACAAGUAAGCUUCAAGUGAAAUUGAUACAUUACCUUGUGCAUCUCCACCAGUUAAAGAUACCACCCCUGGAUGGAGGAAGAGUACUUCCAGAGAAGAUGCCACAUCUACCUAUGAGACAGAUAAGGCAAGUCAAGACGAUACCACACUCCGGUACUUAGAAGUUUCGUGAUUACGAGAUCAUUCUCCCACAAUAUUUCCUAAUGUCAUUUGUACUAAAUCAUUCACUUGUACUCACUAAAGGAGAGUUUGAACCUAUGUACUUGUGUAAACCCUUCACAAUUAAUGAGAACUCAUCUAUUCAGUGGACGUAGCCAAUCUGGGUGAACCACGUACAUCUUGUGUUUGCUUUCCUAUCUCUAUCCAUUUAUAUACUUAUCCACACUAAUGACCGGAGCAAUCUAGCGAAGAUCACAAAAAGCGAUCGUUUUCGCUACCUAGGAUCUAUCUUGCAAGAGAACGGAGAAUUAGAUGGAGAUCUCAACCAUAGAAUACAAGCUGGAUGGAUGAAGUGUAAGAGUGCAUCCGGCGUGUUGUGUGACAGUCGUAGGCCACUGAAGUUCAAGUGAAAAUUUUAUAGGACGGCAAUAAGGCCAGCGAUGUUGUAUGGCACAGAAUGUUGGGCGGUGAAGCAUCAACACGUACACAAAAUGUGUAGCGGAGAUGAGGAUGCUUUGUGGGAUGUGUGGGCACACGAGAAAGGAUAAGAUUGGGAAUAAGGAUAUCCGAGGUAAAGUAGGAGUAGUCGAAAUUGAAGGAAAUAUGAGAGAAAAUCGGUUCCGGUGGUUUGGACAUGUGCAAAGAAGGCCUACUGACGCUCCGGUUCGAAAAUGUGACUACGGGACAGAGGUUCAGGGCCGAAGGGGUAGAGGAAGACCUAGGAAAACUUUGGAAGAGACCCUAAGAAAAGACUUGAGUACUUGGAUCUAACGGAGGACAUGACACAAAACCGAGCGCAAUGGCGUUCUAGGAUUCAUAUAGCCGACCCCACUUAGUGGGAAAAUGUUUUGUUGUUGUUGUUGUUGUUGUUGUAUUAGUAUGUUGAACAAAUUAGUUACAUUUCAUUAUACUAAAAAAUUUACAGAAUAUGAGAAAUAAAGAAUUUGUAUUGUUUAUAUAAAAAUAGAAUAACAAAGAACAUCAUUGACUACCAUUUUAUUCGGUAGUUUCCUCCAACUGCAAUUGUUGAGAUUGUAGGAGAUCUUCGAAUAAAGCCUUCAAUUCAACCAUCCGUACACAAACAUAAUAGACAAUGUUUUUUAGCGAAUUAUGGACAAAGCUUAAUAUUCAAAUGCAAUGAAAUGGAAAACACAAUCCAAUUCUAGGACGAAUUGAAUCCUUAUUAAUCCUUCCUGGUCUAGUACCUAAGAACCAAUGAAGUGGCAAUAUAUGGAUAUGCAUGCUAUAGGAAACCAUUCAUUUGUAGAUGGUAUUGUGUCACCAAUAUUGUAUUUAAAAAUCUACCCAAGAUAAAGAUGCAAUAUAUAGUUUGGUAAAAAAUCAAAACGAAGAGUUAACAAAGGAAAAGGAUUAAGACGUUGAAAAUACAAAACUGGAUUCUUUUAUUUGGUAAAGACGGUUCCCCCACUGGCUGUCCGAAAUCACAAACACUUUUUUACAUAGAAACUUUAUAAACUAAUAGAUUAAAAUAAGGGAGUUUUGACAAAACACUCCCGGUACUGUUCAUUUUUAACGAAAAACCACUUUUUUACCUUUAACUGGUACUAUUCACUAUACCUUCAUAAAGGGUUUUUCGUUAAAAGAGAAGUUUUUUUGGACUUUUUGUUAGUUUUCCUUUAAAUCUAAGUGUUAUAAAUGAAAAAUCCUGGGAUUGAUAGCAAUGGCAUCAACAGUGCCACCACAUCCCAAAUAAAUGAAUGAAAAUAUAGUGAUUAAUGUCCAACAAAGAAGCUCAAGCUUGAAAUAAACCAAGGCAUAAAAGCUUACCAAACUUUUCAAAUGGCUAAAUUGUUCAUUUAACUUAAUAACUUCUUCCUACAAUCCAUAAGUAAGACCAUUAGAUGCGGUAAAUAAAACAUCAUACUUCAUAUAUGGCAAUCUAGCAGAGAAACCAAUUGCAUUCAGAUGGAGCCUAAUUUGUGGAACUACAUUUAUAUGCACUGAAAUGCAUUAUCAUGUUGUCAUAUUUAAAACUGAGGUUAUGCAGUAUGCUAUCUUUAGCAUACACAAAAUUUUUGCACCUCAUUUUUGAAGUUCUGCACUUCAUAAUUUAUAUACUUUCAGUUUCCCUUCUAAUGAAGGUAUGGCUGCUUUCCAUUUGGAAUUUUCGCAAGACAACGUUAUGAUAUUCCUAAUUUAGAAUGCGUUUCCAUUCUAAUGAAUGCAAGCCCUAAAUCAUAAAUAUUGUAUAAUUAGAUCUCAAUUACUCUGAUGUGUUUGAGCACGUGGCAGGGCAUGAGAAUCAGAACCACUCCUUGUUGUUCUCUGCUUCGUGAUUUGGUCAUCAAACAAUACUUCAUUCCCUCCAUCCUUUAUCACGUCUUCUUGGUGAUCAUUUGUUCAUCUCCAAACUGUAUCCACAAAAAACUACAAAUUAAUCCCAAAAACAAUCAUACAAAAAAAUUGCGGAUUAGAUUUGAUUACGUACCAUUUUUCACCUUAAACAUAGACAUUUUAAACCAGAAACCAAAAUCAAACAAACAUAAAGAAAUACGACUGACAGAAUCACACUGUAAGACACCACCCCCUCGCUUCCACGGUUCCACCCACAACACCAAAAACAACAAUAACAAUAAUAACAAUGUACACUCAGACAAAACAAAAAUGCACCACAGCCCUCCAGUGCUAUAACAGCACUUCUAGGACAACUUUGAUAUCUAUGGACUGUUCCCUUCUCCAUGUUACAACGAUAGUAUUAGAGCUCUUACAACAUCACAGAUGCAUGACCAAGAGUGUAUUCGACAACCUUUUCUCUGAUCCUUUUCAUCAGUUGGUCCUAAAGAUUCUAUUCUUCUAAAUUCAUCUUCUUUUUGGGUAUCCACAGACAUUUAUCACUUCAUAUGUCGAACACAAAACACCUAACAUUUUGGGUGACAAAUUAGAAGCAACUAAUCGGAAUCUGGGUACUGAGAAUUAAAUUACUCUUUGUUCUUAUAGUCCUGAUGGAAAUUACUCAUUGAUUCAAAAUUAAUCAAACUAAAAUGCAAGAAAAGCAAAAUCAACAACGCAUAUCAGAAUAAUAUGAAAAGAUCCCAACAAACCAACCAAACAAUUAACAUUAAAAAAAAAUUGCAAACUUGGAGGGAAAGAAGCACCAGAAAAAAUAUACACAUCCAAUGCUUUUAAUCCAAAGCUAGAAGUAUGAAUAACUGAGUAAGUUAAUGAAGGCAAAGCAGAGGGUAGGAAGCAGAACAUACCAAGAGACCAAUAGGGCAUCCGAGCCGGUCUGCCGAUGAACGCCGUGUCCUGGUCGACAACGCCCAACGGCGUCGGCCUGGCAAUGAAGUAAAAGUCGAAAACACCCCCAAUGACCUUGUAGGUGAGAGAAGUCCCUCUGUAGAACACAUCCAUGCCAUUACUGUUGAGCAGCAGAAAAGAGUGCGCGUAAGCCUCGUUGCCCACAUUCUGAAGAUCCAUGUAAACCCGGGUGGGACCCGUACAAAUCAGUGUUGAGAUUGAUCGCCGAGACUUCAGUAGUGACGAGGGUGUAUGGAUCGUUCGGGUAGAGCUUGAUCCCGUGUGGCUGAGUGUUCUCUCCGAGGCCGUACAGGGAGGCGUCUUUCGGCGGUCGGGUGGAUAUCUCGAGGUACUGGUCCUUAAACACCAGUUCGCCAUAUGGGUCUUUGGAUUCGGAGCUCGAAUUGAAGAGGACCUGCCCGUCGGACUUCCUCUUGAAGGUGACCCAAAUGAGUCGGAGAUGUGGCUAAGAAUGAGCUUAGAGCCGGAGUACACUGAGACUUCGAUGGGGUUCUUCGUCUUCGCCUGAAACACGUUUUGGUUUCAAUUGAAAAUGCCAGAGCCUUGCAUGCGAGGAAGAUGACGAUAGGAUUCCAGAGAUAGAGAAAAAAGGAGUAAGACGACGGAGGCGAGAGAAGGGAGACGGCGGCAAGAGGAGGAUAGGACGGAGGCGAGACCGUCUGUAUCGUGGGUCUGUGAGACGUACAAGGCAAGGAGGGUUUGAGAAGGAAACGGAAAAGGCCUGCUUUACCAUUGUUAUUCCCUUCCCGCGAUCAUCAACGCGUGCGCAACAAGAUCAGCGGCAGAGAGAGCAUGUGGCAAAUUUGUAAAUAAAUUGAAAUUCAUCCCAAAACACUGUUUAUUUGAUUUAUUUGAAUAGUGCAAUUGGAAUCCCUUCUUUAGACUAAAGUAAUUUUUAAGUAGAAUUCCAACCGAGCCGUUAGAUUUUAUGCAAGCCAAAACCUUACCAUUAUUCAUACUUGUCAGAAGGCCUCAGAAGUCUCCACUAAAAUGCUUCCCUAAGCACGAGUACAUAAUGAUGCCACUGACAACUAGCUCGUCGAUCACCUCAGCGCUGCGGUUAAUUGCUUCUGCACAAGGCCUUGAUCACGAAUCAAAGAAUCAUGAGACGGGUAGUGUAGCAUAUCGAUCAAGGCCUUGUGGUACUGUCUGGUAGAUAUUAAUAACUUUGAGUAUAUGUUCACAUAGGUUGCCCAUUUCUGCCCAAUGGCAGUUGCAAAUACCAAACUCGUCAAUAACUUUUGCACAUGUACCGUCUAUGACAAUAUUGCAGUUAAGAAUCUUCAAAGCUUUACGCCAAGAUGUUAAACCACUCGCCCACUCAUCUUUCCAAUAUUGUGCAAAAUCAUCCUUCUCAGAAUAUUCAUCAAGCCAGAAGAAGGAAUGUACUUUUGUACCCAGCUUAUCAACCAACCAAUCAACUCGUUUGUACACUCUAGGUUUCUUCUCGUUCAAUAACCUAAGCUUUAGUGGCUGUGCUAGAACUCCAUUGCCGCAGAGGUUUCCUGGCUAGCAAGAGGAAGAGUUUGUAGUGCAGAUACCCACAUCCCUGAGUCAAAAGACAUUUUUCUUGUACGAGUUAUUCAAGAAUAAGGAUCCUGUUUAAAGAGAAGGGGGUGAAGGAAUUAAACGACACACUUAUUACUUCGUAUCAUAAGGCAAAAUAUACCUCUACUAAAGAUGAUAGUAAUCCAUAAAAUCUUAUUCAUCAAGAAAAUCUUCUAUGAAGUCCUCAGACAAACGCUCGGCUCCUCGUUGUUGACAGAUGUUAUCCACUGCCUAACGAAGCCUUCUUGACAUUGUAGUUCGCAUCUUAUUGUCCACACAUUUCUUUACUAAGUUUUUAUGCCAUGCAUGAGGAACCCGCCAAAAGCUUAUCAACACUGAACACUGAAAUACAUCCUUGAGUAUAACGACAUAAAACUGUCAGUAUCAAGUUUGGGCGAGGACUGAGCAACCAACCGGAUGGUGAGCACAUCAGCUAGAGGAUCAUCCACUAUGAAACCACCCAACUUCCAAAUAGGAUUUUUCGUUUGAACUCUAUUGUAAAGAGCUCUCAUCCAUUUAUGGGCAUUGGAACUUCCAAACUUUGGAGCCACUAUCCACGCCACCGGGAUAGUAAUAAUGUUGCAACAUGAACAUAUUCGGUUUCUCAUUAUUAUUAACAAUUGUAGUUAUAAUAAAAGGUUAAACAAACUAAACGGACCUUCAAUUUGGUUGUUUCGAACCUUGAAUCAGAAAGCUAUAAGGUUGUGAUUGUUGAAGCAAAUCAUCUGUUGCAACUGCCACUCUGUUUGAAUGCCCAAAGUGAAAGGGUCCACAUCAGAGAAAUCCUAAUAGAAGAAAACAUGACUCUGAUGGUUUUCUAGCCACAUGCUAAUGCUAACCGCAUCAUCAGCAUCCAAUUCAUAUAUAGAGCGUCGAAUGACCCUGCCUCCGAACAUACCUAUGGGUUAAAAGGUCAUCACGAUUAGAUGGACCACCCUGUUUCUCUACAGAUUCAUUGUGUCUCUGCAUUAUAGUCUUCACAAAGACCCCUGCAUAUAACAAAGAUUGCACAUGAAGAAGCAGAUCUUCAGAGAUACAAGGGGCAAAUAUAGCACGUGUUCCAGCAGCCAUCUUAUCUUGUGGACCAUGGCAUGGCGCUCCUUUCCUAUCUACAUGCUUAUCCUGAUUAUAUAUGAUAAGCGCCACUGAAGAAUACCAAGUAUACCAUCAACCUUUGGUUUGUUAGGCGUCUAUGGCUGCCGCCGUCGCCUCGCUUCAACAUGAAAUCUUGUUGGACAUUCUUUAUUAGAGCAUUCACCCCUUAGAAAAUCGUCAACUCUAGGAAACGAAAUUAUAGCAACUUCAUCUUUCUUGUCCCGCCAACCUUCCACCUUUGACCACACAAGAUCAGAAGAAGAAAACUCCAAUGCAGGUGGAUUUUCUUUGCAACUGGCUUCGUAAAGUCACAUGUUAAUAACAGUAACAGAGGUCCUUUUUACUCUACGCAAUACAAAAGAAAGUCAAAAACUUCAUAUCUGAUAACAAGAAAACAAACAAACAAAAAAGAAGAAACAAUAUAAUUCUUGCAAUACAUUUCCUUCCCAACAAGAGAAGUUCAAAACUUUAGUAAACAAUUAAACUGAUUUCGUCUAUUUUCAUAAAUUCUCAGAAAUUAACAGUCGAAAAACACAAAUUAAAGGGAAAAAAAGUGAAAUUCUUUGGGUUUUCAAAUAGAGAAAUUAUAUUCACACACCUAAAAUUACUUCUCACACACAUUUUUAUUUUAUUUUUUAUUUUCUACACACUACUAACACUUGAUAGAAAAAGAUUAAAAAAUUAAAAGGAUGUGAGAGAAGUAAUUUAGGAUGUGUGAAUAUUAUCUCCCUUUCAGAUAAGUGAAGUCACUAGCUUCAGAGUCACAGAUUGAGCUAUAUCGAUAUGUAUAGUAUCAGGCCAUUUAUGCAAAAAGAUCCCCAUUUUUUCAAAAAAAUGGGGAUUAGGUGUGGGUUCACUCCACAUCGAACUUUAAUGAUCUGAAUUGUCUAUUUUGUAUAGAACCGGAUCCCCUGCAGAUCCCUAAAAACUAAGCCUCCUGAGCAAAGAAUUAGGACCGUUGAAAUUUGAUCAAACUACUACAAACAGGGCCCCUCUAAAAGUUAUAAUAAUUGUAGCCAUUGGAUUAAAUUUCAACGGUCCAAAUUCAUUGCUCAGGGGGCUCAGUUUUUGGGGAUCGGAUUCCAAUUUGUAAGUCUCAUUUCAUAGAUUAUUCUUACAAAAAUUCAAUUUAAUCCAAAAUCAUUUACCUAUUUUGUAAGUCUCAUUCCAUAAAUGUCAUUAUAUACAUCAUUUCAUGUGCUACCACAUUAUUUGGUUCAGUAGCCACUUUACCCUUGGUUCUCUCAGCAGCUACAUCUCCAUUCCCACAGUUAUUCACAUUUGAAGAUAAUACUUCCUCAUUUCCUAAUUCUUGAUCUCGAUUGGUAAAAGAUGCACAUCCAUUGUGGUAUCGUUACUUUCCAAAUUAGCUGGUCCACUUAAGGAUGCGUUUGUUGCACCGAAAUGUCUCAAACUGGACUAAUUUCAAGAACUAAGCUGAUCUGAUUUAGACUAAACUAAACUAGAUUAAAGCAUUUGGUGCAGUAUCAGACUAAGAAGCAGGAUAAAAAUUAAUUUUCCUUUUUUUUUUCCAAAAACAAAGAACUCUAUCUGUUUCUCCAUUUUCUUUGGUCAAACUAUCUCUUCUCAUUUUUCUCCAUCUCUUCCAUUUUCCUUUCCUGUCCAACUCGUUUUUCCUUUUCUUCUCGAUCACAAAUAUACACAGUUCACAUGCAAACCAAUUUUCCAUCAGACCAAACAAAACCCAUCACCUGCCUCAUCAAUCCAACAAAAUUCCCAAACUUUCCCACCCUAAAAUUUGACAAUUCCAUUCAGAUUAAACAAAAGUUAGAGCUGAAAAACUAAGGAAAGAAAAAAAAAAGAGAAAGGGGAGGGAGAGUAAACAUAUCACCAAUAGUAGGAGGCGGCUACGCCGUAUAGCUUGAGGACGAGCAGUAGCGUAAAGGAGAAGAGGAGGCUGUGGGCCGCCAAGGCCUGCACGGACUUCAACACUCUCCGCUAGUUCAUCAUCACAGUAAAACAAUGUCGUCCGCUGCGAAAGUCGAGACUUCAGAUUGUGAGAAAUCUCAGGAGGAGGUUGCUGUUUCAGUAUGUGCCAUUGAAACGAAAGAGGCAAGAAAUAUUCUUUCUCUCCUUCUUCUUUUUCGUCGUUCGGGUUGACCCAGAUGGCAAAAAAUCCCAAAUCACCGACCUAGAUGCCAAAAGGGCACUGGGUUUGCAGGACGAUGGAGAUCGGCGACAACCGUUUCUGGUUUGGUCAUUGGAGAAAGGGGGUUGAUGCUGCUCAUGUAGGUUUGUAGGACGCUGCUCGCAUACGAGGGAGACGGGACUAGCAAUUCCGUUGUUUUUGGGGGCUUGCUAAGACCUCCAAGUGAGGGAUUUAGUCGAGGCGAGUCCUUCUUUGUCUCAUUUAACUUAGUCCCGCCGGUGAACAAACACAGAUUGCACUAACUUUUAACUUAAGCCAGUCCAGUGAGAGCUAAAGAAGGGAAACAAGCACCCUCUAAUUGUUUCUAUACAGAGACUGCUAAAGAAACAGCAUGAUCAAAAUCAAAGAAUCAUGAGGCGGCCCCAGCAAGCCCCUCAGCGGCUCUACAUCCCUCCGUCCCUCCAUCGUCGCACGGCGGAAACAGCCACGACAACUACGAAGACACCGACCUCGACAACAUCGAUUACGACGACAACGAUGGUUCCAAGGACCCCGGGAGUGACGACAACAACCACGGCAACGCUGGCAGCAGUGAUGAGGAAGUCGAUCCUCUGGAUGAUUUCAUAGAGGGGAUUCAUGCGGAGGUGACGUCAGCUAGGCCGCCGAGCUGAAAGUGAAGGCCGAGAAGUACAGGGAUGAUGAGGAGGAGGAUCAUAUGGAUAGGUUUUUUAGGGCUAAAAAGGAUGUGGUGCUCACACUGGCAUCGGGUGCUUUACACGCCGGAUAUGACUCCGAUGAGGAGGUAUAUGCGACCGCCAAGGCCGUCGAUGCCGGGUUGUUGGAGUACGAUUCAGAUGAUAAUCCCAUUGUUCUGGACAAGAGGAAGAUCGAACCGAUUCCAGCUCUCGAUCAUAGUUCAAUCGACUACGAGCCGUUUAAUAAGGAUUUUUACGAGGAGAAAUAGUCGAUUUCAGGUAAAUUCCAACCGAAUUGAGAAUUUUGUUCCUUUCUUUUUUGUUUUCCAUUCACAUUUAAUUUUUUUUUUAUGAAUUUAGUCGAAAUGCGUAGCAAAGUAUAUAAAUUUGAGUGAGAGAGAAUAUUGACCGGCAGAAGUUCUCAAGAAGACAAUGGAAGACUAGAGUUAACUGGUGUUUUGGUUUCCUUGUUUAGGGAUAAGUGAGGAGGAUGUUUUUUAGUACAAGAAGAGCUUGGCCAUCCGUACGUCGGGUUUUGAUAUACCGAGGCCAGUUAAGACAUUUGAAGAUUGUGGAUUUUCUUCACAACUCAUGGCUGCCAUAAAAAAACAAGACUACCAAAAGCCGACACCAAUACAAUGCGCAGCUCUACCCAUAGUUCUUUCCGGGAGAGAUAUAAUUGGUAUUGCGAAAACUGGUUCUGGAAAGACUGCCACUUUUGUCAUUCCAAUGAUUGUCCACAUUAUGGAUCAGCCAGACCUUCAAAAAGAAAAAGGUCCAAUUGGAGCGAUAUGUGCUUCUACUAGAGAGCUGGUGCACCAAAUAUACUUAAGAGUCCAAAAAAUUUGUGAAAUCACAUGGGAUACGUGUCUCUGCUGUAUAUGGUGGAAUGUCUAAGCUUGAUCAGUUCAAAGAACUUAAGGUAGGAUGUGAAAUAGUUGUUGCUACUCCUGGGAAAUUAAUCGACAUGCUUAAAAUGAAGGCACUGACAAUGCUUAGGGCAACUUACCUAGUACUUGAUGAGGCUGAUCGGAUGUUUGACCUUGGGUUUGAGCCUCAAAUUAGAUCUAUUGUUGGUCAGAUUCGGCCAGACCAACAGACAUUGCUCUUUUCUGCAACAAUGCCCCGUAAAGUUGAAAAAUUGGCUAGGGAGAUUCUCUCAGAUCCUAUAAGAGUUACAGUGGGUGAGGUGGGAAUGGCCAAUGAGGAUAUCACUCAGGUUGUUCAUGUAAUUCCUUCUGAUGAUGAGAAGCUGCCCUGGCUUAUUGAGAAGUUACCUCGAAUGAUUGAUGAGGGUGAUGUUUUAGUAUUUGUUUCAAAAAAAGGCUGCAGUGGAUGAGAUCGAGUCACAGCUUGCUCAGAAAGGUUUUAAAGUCACAGCUCUGCAUGGUGACAAGGACCAGGCAUCUCGGAUGGAUAUUUUGCAAAAAUUUAAAUCUGGCAUUUACCAUGUUCUUGUUGCAACUGAUGUUGCUGCUCGUGGUCUUGACAUCAAGUCAAUUAAGUCGAUUGUGAACUUUGAUAUUGCAAAAGACAUGGACAUGCACGUCCAUCGAAUUGGUAGAACAGGUCGGGCUGGUGAUAAGGAUGGCAUUGCAUACACUCUUAUUACACAGAAAGAGGCACGUUUUGCUGGUGAGUUGGUUAAUAGCUUGGUUGUUGCUGGUCAGAUUGUCUCCACGGAGCUCAUGGACCUUGCGAUGAAGGUAAUUUUGCAGUACUAUUAACAAUUUUUUUUUUUUGUGGUUUAUAUAGCGAGUUUAUACAUGCAUCCAACUACCUGCCUUUUUGUUUUAGAGAUGGUGGUUAUAACCAUAGUUUGUAAUCCUAUAAUGCAUUUAAGCGAAUACAAGUUAUUAAUAUGUUCUCUGGUAAAACGUGCUCUUUUAAUGCAAUCUGGAUUCUGGACAAUUACACCUACUGGUUUUUGUCUCACAAAUUAACUACACUCUACUAUAUAGGUGCAUAGGUUGCUUCUGAUUUAGAGUGCGCUUUCGAGAGAGAUGGAUUUGAUGACCAUUUGGUUUUCAAGGCCUUAUUUUGGAAAGCUUCAGUAUGUCCUUGCAAUUACAGGGAUCUUGAGAUCGUUGACUUCAUAACGUCAAGAUAGUAAAUUUCAGGAAACGUGCUUAGUUUAGAGAGAGAGUAAUUAGACAGUAUUUAGUAGUCCCAUCUUUACUUCAUACCAUGCUCUGCAUAGAGAAGGGGUUGUUGGGGGUGUAUGUUGGCUUGUGGGGCUGUGGAUUGAAGCAUAGGGAUGAAUUGAAGAUAAAGCUCAGUCUGGGCCCUCUGGGGACUUAUUAACUUUUGUGUAUUAUUAAGUACUUGCUUGCAUUAUACCAAUACAUCGGUUGAGGCCAACCAACAUUUAAGAACUAAGAGAAAAAUCGCAUUUUAAGUACUAAAUCUUAAUUACCACAUGGACCCUUAGUAAAUUGUCACUUAUUUUUCCUUGUGCCAAUAUAUCUCAUAGACAUAAAUGCACAACUUAUCAUGAUAGGUGGCUGCACCUGCAUUAGUUUUAGAAGUUUUACACUAUGAGAGCCACUCAUGCAUCAUUUAUUCAGUCUUGUGACUUUUAAUUCUUGCCUUGCUGCUUGUAGCUUUAUAUUUUAUAUCCAUCAUUACACUGGUUUCCAUCUCCUACAUGGAUGUGCAGUUAUUUUGGGUGCACCUCGUCUGUGGAACUUUUGUUGCUUUCCCUAACUAUGUUUCUUGUUUGAUAGCUUUAGAUGUUAGCGUGAGACGUUAGAUUUCAGAUCUUACAUUCUCUAUUUUAAUGGGAUUUACCUUGUUUAUUAUCAGGAUGGUAGAUUUAGGUCAAAACGCGAUUCAAGAAAAGGAGGUAUAAACUUUAAUCAUAUUAAAAUUUCAAUUUUCUUAAGAUUCUUUUGCAAUUUCAUAUUAAAUUAGCCUUUUUCUAUAAUUCAAAUGAUGAUAUUAUAUGGAUUUUGCAGGUGGAAAGAAAGGUAGAGGGAGGGGCGGCGGUGGUCGAGGUGUGCGUGGGGUGGAUUUUGGUCUGGGUAUUGGAUAUAAUACGGAGUCCAAUAGUUCUUCAUCGAAUACUAUUCCUAGUCGAUCUGCUGCAGUAACUCCUCAGAGGACAGGAAUGAUGUCUCAGUUCAAGACUAAAUUUGUUGCCGCUUCAUCUAACUCUCCAAGUCAAGGUUUAGCUAACAACUUUAGUGUGCCCAACAGACCGGCAUUACGAGGAUUUGUAUCCGGUGGUUCAAUAGGUGGUGAUGUAUAUAUAACUCAGGCAACCAGUACAAUUACUCCUACUCCUGCUCCAACAUCAAUGGUAAAUAAAACUGCUACUCCGAACACUGGAGAAAAUUCAAGUCAGAAACCCUCCGAAAGGUUAAUUAAAAUGAUGCUUGGUUAGAAUUUUUGAUGUCUUUACAUAUUUGAUUGGUGUUGAGCAGUUUCAUUUGUGUCGAUUGCAGUUCUAGAGAUAAACCCAGAGAAAGGCGGAGGCGCUCCGGUUGGGACUGUUAACCGUACAGUUGAACUACACCACUUUCGCAUCAUGAAUGACAAGUUUUACCUUUGUUGUAGGUCAAGUCCUGAUAUGCCUGUAUUAUUGUUGAUCUUUCUCACUUUCUUUGUCGCUCUGUUUAUAAGUUAAAAAGAAACAGAAGAUUUUGUAAACUCAGAUCGACUUGUUGCACAAAUAGCGGAUGAUUUAAAAGAUAGACUGUUCAGAUCAUUAAAAUACAUUAUGAAGUAGAUUCUACAAAAAGUUGUGCCAUGUAAAAAAAAUGUGGUGUUUCACAUGUGCUCCGUAUGUUAUUUAUAUUAAUCAUUCUGAAUAACAUCAUAACUCAACGAUUGGUAUAUAAUACAAUAAGGCCUCGUUUGAUGUCAAUGAUUUGAUUGGUUUUGAUUAGAUUAGAUUGGCUUAGUCUGGAGAAUUCACUAGAUUCAGUGAAUGUUGAAUGAAAAUAUGGAUUGCAUAUUUUGUUCAAGUGAAGAUGGAAGAGAAAAAGAAUAAGACUAGUAUAACAAAUCAAAUAUUUACGGAGCAUGCAUAGGUUUUUAAUUACAACUAUUCGUCAAUUGAUACUUCUAAUUUUUGGUUUUAAAUGCUAUUAUCUCUUAAAUAAAAUAAUUAUGUUGUUUUAGUCUCCUCAUCGUAUUGUACGUGUCGAAUUCGUGUGAAGUCUGGUGGGACAAGAGAGAGAUAAGGAGGUUGACUUUGAUCAAUUGAUCUCCUUUCCAUAACCAUUUUUCUUUACCUUCAUCCCCUUACACAAAGUCCGUUCUUAAGAUCUCGAGUUCUCUCUCAAUGGCUGCUAAAAGUUCCCGAGAUUCUUCUUCGUCCUCUUACCGGUGUUCCUAUCAUGCCUUCCUGAGUUUCAGGGGCCAGGACACGCGCAGGGGCUUACUGAUCACCUCUAUAGAGCUUUGGAGAUAGCAGGAAUCCACACGUUUAGAGACGAUGAUGAAAUCAAGAGAGGGGAGAAUAUUGAGUCGGAGUUAGAGAAGGCGAUACAGGAGUCACAAGUAUCGAUGUCUUCUCCAAGGACUACGCUUCCUCAAGGUGGUGUUUGAACGAACUUCUGAAGAUCGUGGAACGUAGAAAUACUGAUCAUAGACAUGUGGUUCUGCCAGUUUUCUAUGAGGUGGAUCCAUCCGAUGUCAGGAAGCAGAGUGGUCCUUUUGCUGAAGCAUUUGCCAGACAUGAGGAACGAUUCAGUACGGAGAUGGACAAGGUGGAGCAGUGGAGAAGAGCUCUUGGAGAUGUUGCAUCUUUGGGAGGAAUGGUUUUAGGAGAUCGGUAAUUUCUAUUCUCAAUAUAUUCUUGAGCUUAUUGAAAGUGUUUUAAAUUAAGUAAAAUUGUAGAUAUGUUCCUAUGUAUACAGCAAUUUGUACGAUGAGCAAUCAUCUCCGUACGACAUAUCAUUUACUACAACUUCAUGUAAAAGAAAAUAACUUAUUUCUGCUUCAUGUAUUUUGAUUCAAAUGAAUUACAGGUAUGAGGGGCAGUUCAUCCAAGAAAUUGUUGAAGAGAUUAGAAAUAAAGUGGGUCACGCAGCUUUAGACGUCGCUCCCUUUGCAGUUGGAAUGGAUAAUCGUGUGCAAGACCUAAACAUGUGGCUACAAGAUGGAUCCAAUGAUGUUGGUGUAGCUGUCAUCUGUGGGAUGGGUGGAAUUGGCAAGAGCACCAUCGCGAAAGCCGCGUAUAACCGCAACUUUGAUAGAUUUCAAGGUAGCAGCUUUCUUGCAGAUAUACGAGAAUCUGCAGAACAACCCAAUGGUUUUGCUUGCUUGCAAAGAAAACUUCUUUCAGAUAUCCAAAAGGGGAAAGCAAAGAAAGUAUACAAUAUGGAUGAAGGAACAAUCAGGAUCAAACAAGCCGUUGGCAAUAAAAAAGUUCUUAUUGUUCUUGAUGAUGUGAGCAACCGGGAUCAACUCAAUGCAAUUCUUGGAAUGCGAGAGUGGCUUCAUCCAGGAAGUAAAAUUAUCAUAACAACUAGACAUGAGCAUUUGUUAAAUGCUCAUAAAGUUUUUGAAAAGUUUAUGGUUCAAGGACUGGAUGAGGAUGAAUCACUAGAGCUUUUCUGUUGGCAUGCCUUCAGACAAUCCCAUCCAGAAGAAGGUUACAUGAAGCUUUCAAGACAUGUGGUCCAGCACUGUGGAGGGCUUCCAUUAGCUCUUCAAGUUCUGGGAUCUUCUCUAUCCGGAAAAUGUGUAGAAGUGUGGCAAAGUGCAUUGCAGAAGUUAGACGUGAUCCCUAAUGACAAAAUUCAAAAAGUUCUGAGGAUAAGUUUUGAUUCUUUACAAGAUGAUCAUGACAAAAAUUUAUUCCUUCACAUAGCCAGUUUCUUCACAGGAAAGAGGAUGGAUUAUACAAGUAGAAUAUUGGACAGCUUAGAGUUUUACACAAGGAUUGGGAUUGAAAAUCUAGUUGACAGAUGCCUAGUGAAAAUUCAAUGGAACAGGUUGGUCAUGCAUCAAUUGGUGAGAAAAAUGGCAAUGGAAAUUAUUCGUGAAGAAUCACCUGAUGACCCUGGAAAACGUAGUAGAGUGUUGCAGAAAGAUGCCUCUAAUAUUUUGAGAAAAUUAAGUGUAAGAACUAUGUUUUUCAUAUGUAUGUAUUUUUCGUUAUGAUUUGUAUGUGCAGUACUAGUAAUAUACUUACCCAAUUCUCUGAUUUGUUAGCAGGGUACGGAAAAUAUUAAGGGCCUCAUGCUCAACCUUGCUAGCAAAAGAACGUUUGUUCGAAGUGAUAAAAAACGAUGCCAUGUUGAAGAUUAUGAUGGAAAUUGUUCAAGACGACGUCGGCUUGGUUUCUUCUCUUGGAAGCCAAUUAGCUUUUCCUCCACAAACUCAGCUUCUGCAUCAAAUGAGAUAGAUUUCAAAUCUGAGGCAUUUAGAAGGAUGCAGAAUCUUGAAAUUCUCAUUCUCAACAACGUCAACAUCAGGGGAAGCUACGAAGAAUUUUCAAAAAAUUUAGUAUGUUUAUCUUGGCGGGGAUUCCACUUAAAAUCAAUACCAGAAAAUUUUUGUUUGGAAAACCUGGUUGUUCUAGACAUGCGAAAUAGUAGCCUACAACAUGUUUGGAAUGGGACCAGGGUAUGUAACUCUCUCUCUCUCUCUCUCACAAACACACACAAAUUAAUAGGGGCCAUUAUAUCGUCUUAGAAGCUAAUUCAUUUGUAUUAUUAUUGACACAGGUUAUUCCGAGGCUGAAGAUUCUUAAUUUCAGUCAUUCGCAUGGCCUUAGGACAAUCCCCGACUUCUCAGGACUCUAUAACCUUGAGAGGUUGAUUCUUAAACAUUGCUUAAAUUUGGUUGAGGUUCAUGAGUCCAUCGGACACCUAGAAAAACUUCUUGUUUUGAAUCUAAAAGGCUGCAAAAAUCUCAUGAAGCUUCCAAUAUUGAGAUCUAUUCAGGAUCUUAUUCUUUCUGGUUGCUCAAAGCUUGAAAUGAAGAAACUCAAUCUGGUAUCAUCUAAAUCAUGGUAUUCAGUCUGGUCGUGGGUGUCGCCAAGAAAAAAUACUAAAUUAAGCAGUUUCUCAUUGGCAAGUUUACCACGUUCUCUGACAAGUUUAAGUCUGGAUUGCUGCAAUAUAUCAGAGAUUCCAAGUGCCCUAACUAUGCUGUCCUCGUUAGAGUACUUGAAUCUGGAUGGUAAUCCGAUUACAAGCCUACCAGAAAGCAUGAACUAUCUUGUUAAGCUCCGGACUCUUAAAGGAUCUGAAUGCAGAAACCUCACAACACUUCCAGAGCUCCCACGUUCUUUGACGAGUUUAACGCUGGUUCGCUGCAAUAUAUCAGAGAUUCCAAGUUCCCUAACUAUGCUGUCCGCGUUAAAGUACUUGAAUCUGCAUGGUAGUCCGAUUACAAGCCUACCAGAAAGCAUGAACAAUCUUGUUAAGCUCCAGACUCUUAGAGUAUCUGGUUGCAGAAACCUCACAAUGCUUCCAGAGCUCCCACGUUCUUUGACAAGUUUAAAUCUGGCUUGCUGCAAUAUAUCAGAGAUUCCAAGUGCCCUAACUAUGCUGUCCUCAUUAAAGUACUUGGAUCUUGAUGGUAAUCCGAUUACAAGCCUACCAGAAAGCAUGAACAAUCUUGUUAACCUCCAGACUCUUGAUGUAACUGGUUGCAGAAACCUCACAAUGCUUCCAGAGCUCCCACGUAGUUUGGAACAAUUGCAUGAUAGAGGUUGCGCAUCAUUGAAAAGAAUAACAAAUUAACCGAAGUUGGCCAUGUCACCGGACUUAGAUUACUGGUUUUCUUGCAUAGUAAUGGACCCAAGGCUAUGGUAUUGUGGGAAACUUGUUGAUUUUAGAAGCUUGUUGGAUACACUAGCAUUGGUCUCAUAUCUCUCAGAUCUAUUCGAUUUGGAACCCAAAGGUGGCAUUGAGGUCCAAGGGAACUAUUGUGAGAGUUUGGGCGUCAAGGUUCUCUCUCUCUCUCUCUCUCUCUCUCUUAUGUACAGGUGCUUAUAAUAUGGUGAAUAAGAUCUCUAUGGCGUAAACGAUUAGAUUGUAAUGACAACAUCACCAUGGAACUGCAGGGAACUUUUGACUGCUGCAUAUUGAGCAUAUUUGUUCAGGGGAGCAAGAUUCCAGAUCGGUUCAAUUACAGGAGCAUGGGUAACACUGUGUUCUCUAUUAUUGUUCCUUCACAUCUUAAUCUCAAGAUCGUAGGUUUAAACGCAUGUAUAUUAUAUGCACAGCAGUCGGAUCGGAGCCUUGAGGUUGCACGUGGCCAUGAUCACCGUUCGCUUGAACUUAGGAAUGAGACAAAGGGCCGUAAGUGGAACUUAAGAAUGCGGAAUGAGGUUGAAUGGAACUUAAGAAUGCCGUUGGAUCAUGGGGAACAAUGAGUUGGAAUGCGGGGAAAGAGUGUGUCUUGCAAUCAAAGAGGACAAUGGUUUCCUCACAAAGGAGAUUGGAGUCCAGUUUGUGUACAAGCGGCAAAAUAAGGAUAGGGAGGAUGUGCCAUCAAGUAGUGAAGAUACAACGAUCCAACGAGAAAGAUCUCCUUGGGAGUAGACCCAAAGUUUCCUUGAAACCACAAGACCCCGUGUUCCGGGGGGUGUAGAGACGGGGAUUCAAUGCAUCCAUAGCUGCGAUAAGAAAGUAAUUUCAACUGUCAUGUGUGCGGCUGAAUACUAUUUCUGUAACAGUGACAGGAUCGAGAGGCUCUACCGCAGUGGGUCGUAGGCUUUCGGACUUUUAGCCAAAAUAACCCAGUUUAAUUGAUGUUGGUGAUGCCCAAAUCACUAGAUUCAGAUGUGUAUUGGUUGUUAAGCUUUCGUUUCUAUCUAUUUUCUGUUUCCUCCUAAAAAAUUGUUUUCAAGAAUUUAAUAAAAUUCCAUACCAAACAAGUUCUUGCCUAGAUAAGAGUAUGAACUAGCAAAAAUGCCCGUGCUGCGCUGCGUGGUUGUGUGACACGCAUUUGGUAAGCUUCGGGGGAGAUAAGAGUAAUGGUAGAACUUAAUGAAACUUGGUUGAUUAGAUUUUUUUUUUUUUUUUUUUUUUGUUCAUAGUAACGGGCAUUGUGCAGGUAAGUCAUUUUCUUCAGAGAAUUGGGGAACAGGUUCAUGGUCUUCUUUACACAAAUCUAUGUUUAGUUUACCACAUAGAUUAGUGGCAACGAUCACACGACCAUCGCCAACUACCGCUACUUCGAAAUCAAAAAACCGCAAACUAAGGUUAAGUGUUGGUAAAGAUGAAAGGUUAUAUGUAUUAUGUGACUAAUGACUGAUGUUGCCGAGACACGAAAAACAUGAAGCUUCCUGGAACUAUUUGGUUUAGUGAAAAGUAAAUUUCGAACAUUGUUUCGUGGUGUUACGCAUGCCAACCACAUACUCUGCGGGUGCUCACAAGGAUUCGACAUCUUCUUCCUGAUGCUCCAGAACAAUGGUGGCAAGAGCAAGUCUAUAAGCUGAAGAUCUCAAAUUCCUGACUAGAACAUAUAUUUCCUUUCGUCUUCGCUUAGCUGGCACCAAAUCCCAUUGUUCCUCUCUGAGACGAGCGAGUACAACUGCCUCGCAAAAAGCUUCUGCUACUGGCUUCUUGCUGCAUAUAAAAUAAAAUGCAAUUUAGCACAUGGAAAAUGAUGAACGCAUAGCAAAAUAGAAAGAAAAGAUGGUCGUUGUAAAGUGGCAAGAGGCUGUGAACUAACAUCCCUCUAACAAAACCAGUGGUGACGAAGCCCAUUGGCGAACGAUAAGUUUCUCUAAGAACAGGGUCCUCUGGCAUUUGGAGUUCCCACUUACCAGAAGAUUGCUCUGUGAAGUACGAAGCCACAGCAGAUUGAGGCAUUUGAAGUCCUCCAUCGAAACUCUCUGACCUGCAAGACACACACAUGAAGCUUAUUUUUCAAAAUUAUUGGUCUGCAGCAUGAAUGGUGCUCUGAAAUACGUAUAAAGUCUUUCAAAAAUAGCUGCAAAACUUCAAGUCACUCCCACGAUUAAAAUUUUCAACGGUUACAUUAAAUCUCAGAAAAUUUUCAUCAAUGCAAGUUCUGAAUAAGAGACGUAAUGUAAAUAGGUCACAUUAUCUCCUCUACUAGUAUAUAAAAGACGAGAAAAUUUCAAGCACCACCGUUGUAAUACAAUCAUAAGCUUAUAGGAUAGCAUAUAAAUCAUAAGCUUAUAGGAUAUCAAAGAAAAAAUGACUACCUAGUCCACAGUGAUAUGUCCGUCAGUCGAGGAGCUCCCUCUUCAAGAAAACCUUCCUUGUAAGCAUGGAGUAAUACUCCAACAAAACAUAGUUUAUGAUUGUACUUAAAUCUAGUAAACUGAUCUUGGCCCGGACCAAGCUUGAUUUCGACCCUCAUAAACUUCGUGAAACUUCUCUCCUUAUCAGCGACAUAUGGAAACAGACGUAAAUGACAGCCUUGAAUUUCACUCAAGAAAUUUGUCAGCAAAAAACUCGUCUGUGCGAUAAAACCAUCAAAUGAAUUUCCAUGACAGCCGGCUAAUGUAGUAUCAGAAUUUCCAGAGUCUGAAUUAGUGAUGAAUAGCUUCUGAUGCCAUGUUGCUGCCUAAAACUUUCAGCAUCUCCAACUGCAUUUGAUUCUUCGUUUAAAGCAACUUGGAUACUAUUCCAUGGGGAUAAAAUGGGAACCCUCAAAGGUCUUAUGGCUGGAGGAUGAAGUUCCUCUUUAAGAUUAGAGGCAGCAGCUUCGGUCUCCUUGAGGCAUAAAUAUGCAUCGCAAUCAGGAAAAUCUGAAGGAAUAUAUGGCAACCCCAUCUAGAAAAUAAAAGGGACUUAGAUGCAACAUUCGAUAACCUGAUAUUAAAUAUUAUAAUUUACACGUAAUAAGUUUCAAUGCUUACUUCACACGAAAUCCAGCGCUUCUCUCUCAACCCCAUUGCAUGAGCCCCCUUAGAGACAAGAGAAAUCCAAAAUGCCUUGACCCAGCUUAAGGGGAGUAUAACAGACCAUCUGUAAGGCAAUAAGAGAUAGACUUCUAAGGUAACUUUAAAAAUAUAUCAUACUCAAUUGAACAGAUGAUAAAGUUUGAUGCAUUGAUGGAAUUUUAAGGCGAGUCAGAAAAAAACAGAUUGUCACAUUCUACUUUCAUGAAAUCCAGAACUUCGAAGAUCACGUUAUCAAUUAUUGCACAAAGAGUCAGCAGGAACAUUUAUGCCAUGACUUUCAUGUUUCCGAUAAAAAGACAUAGAACUCCAUAAUAUAUAUCUUAUGAGAAACAAAAUAUAUUAACAGUUUAUAAACAGUACGAACAUACAACUCAGGAGAAAUGGUGCCCACUGAACCCACAUAUAAGCAUUAAUACAAGUACAUAAAAUAUGCAGCAAUUAGCUUAAUCCACAUAACACUAAAUGGAAGAAUAAACCAGGAAAAAAAGGAGUUUACCCAACAUGCAAGCCUCUUCCGUUACUAUCUUCAAAAGCAUAAUCGGGCAAGAUCAUGAGCCCUGUGACGUGGAGGAAGUAUUUAGUUCCCCUGAACUUCAAUCAUCGAGGCUGAACAAAUUCCUAUUCUGGUCAUGUUUUUCCUUGCAAAGAACAGCCUCUUCCACUGGAGGGCUUACUCCACUGCUAACAUCCUACAAAUUGUUUGCUCUGAUCUUGCCAUUACCUGCAGGUUCAUCUGAAAAUCGUCCAAAGAUAACAUGCUUUUUGUCUUCAGCUCCUAGUACAUCACCUAGUAUACUAGCUGAACCUAAAUCUUGAGCAUCUGCAGUGUUUCCCUUCUCUGUUAAUGUGCAAGGAUCCUUGACAUUAAGGGACAAAAUUGCAUGAGAAGGAAUUUCCUCCUCAUUUUUAAGAUGAAUUGUAGAUUGGGAAUCCUCAUCCGCCUUGGCAGCUGAAUGUCUCAUCAACUUCCAAGAAUUAUCUCUAGUCCUAUUCAGCCAGACAACAAAAUUAGCCAUCUUUAACCUCAUUACUUGGUUAUGUCACUGAAAUCCUCUCCGUAACUCACCUGGUAGAAGGGAUUAAUGUCCUUUGAAGGAGUUGAAAUGCUUUUGAUCCCACUAAUUCUAAUUUUGCAAGUUGACCCUCAAGUGAGAAACAAUUAAUCACGAUGUCCCUGCCCUCCAUCUAAGAUAAUAAAGCAUUAUAUGAAUAACAGUAAAUAAUCUACCGAGAACAUGUAGUAUCAUCUAACAGUAUGAGUUCUCUAUUCUGACAUCUACCAAGUCUAGACUAGAGGCAAACUUUGACACCUAAGCACAGCACAAAAACCACUUGAGAUAGCAUUUGAAAAAAAAUGUUGGCUUAUCAGAGAAUCAAGUACAAAGCAUAGAAGUAGACGAGUUUCAGUAUUGCCCUAAAUCAUCAUUCACUCAAAGAAUUCAAUACCAAACCAGGGCUGUUGCAUUCUAUCUUAAGAUCCAUAAAUCAUUAUUUCCUUCCUUCUGACGUGAAGUCAGAUGAGAUUAAGCCUCUAUACACUUGCUAUUGAUGUAUGUGUGAACAAAAAGAAGGAAUGGGUACCUCUUUUUGGCAAGCUAAUUUCAAAGUGUCAUAAGCUUCAGUGAGAGCAGAAGCAUGUAUCCACACCCAAAGCUGGCGAUCAGUAGAAGAGUGGUUUGUACUCUCUAGUCCUUUAAAUUCAUCGCCUUCACAGUCAGCUGCAUUAUUAUCUCUAUUUGGUUGGCCAGAAGGCCGCCACAUACAGUUCACAGGAGCAAUUGGUUUUGAAAGAGGUGCUCCCAAAUGAUGAAGCUGCAAAAAAUGGGUCAUCAAGUCAAUACCUCAAGUCAUCCACAUUCACAAAGAAAAGUGCAAUAGGAUAACUUACCAUAGCAUUAUCAUAUAUGACGCCAGAAAUAACAGAACGGGAAACAUUUUCAGAACGAGUUGACUGAGGAGACACCAUUACCAUGCCUAACACUGAUAGUAACGAAUCCUGGAUGCAUAUGAAGUAGGGUGUAACAUCAUAAUUUAGUAGCAGAAAAUAACAUAUUGCAACACUUUUCCUUUUGAAGAAAAAUAAAUUAAAAGGUAUACAAUUUCAUAGGAAUAAAUUCAUAAGAUAGAAAGUAAAUGCCUGCCUCCGGCCCCUCCAAUUGGAUAGCUACAUGAUAGCUUGCAUCAUGAACAAGCACUCCAUCCCUGAACCACUUCAAGACAGCUCUGGACCCCCUUCCUCUACAUUUUAUUGUUUUUUUUUUUUUUGAUAAAAUAGAUAUACAAGCGAAUUAGUUAUUUAUUGAGAAAUAGAAGAAAUAAUAAGCGAAAAGUAAAGAAUAACACUGCUAAAUUAAUAUGCGUUUUACCUGCCCUGCAAACCCAAGGGAAGGUAGUAACCCCAAAGCUCUGUCAUUGCGAACCGCUUCGCAUGCCAAACAUGUGUUCUAAGCCUCUUUGUACCAUCCCCUGAUGUGCAGAAACCCUUUUCAAGGUUCAUUUUAAGCUCAGCUCUCCUACGAAUGCGAUGAGGAACAUUCUUGUCAUCUUUCUCUGGAGGCAAUGUCAAAGCAUUACUCUGAUCAAGUUUUCUCUAUUUUCUAAAUCUUUUUUUGGCGGCUUGAUUGUCGUAAGCAGUGGUUCUUCUUCUCUUGCUUCUCCGAGACCGGAAAUCAUUGUUCAAUCUGUUAGAUACAAUUGAAUGGAGUGUCUCAAGCUCUGAACCCCGUGAUUCUGCAAACUUUUGGACAUUGAUUUUUCGAGGCGGAGCUGAUGAAACCUGUUGCCGUCUGAAACCAUCGGUAGCCAUUAGACAAAAUUAAACCCCUCAGAUGAAGAACGAUAUUAUACCAGUCUGCCACACAAUUAUAAUCGCCUCUUCACUCUUCGGACAUCAUUGGUCUCUAUUCGCAGUACUACUCUAUUACUCUGAAAUGUCCAAAAACAAAUUGUAAGAUUCUUCAAAGCGUAGCAAUCGCAACUGGUUCCAAUUCCAAUUACUUUUUAUGGCGCAUUUACGUAACGUAAUCAAAAUAGAGGAAUUGAAUUGAGGAGGACUCAGAAUCGGAUUCUAUUGAAGCUGUUGGAAUCGGAUUCUAUUCGCAGUACUAGUACUGUGAAAUGUCCAAAAACAAUUUUUGAGAUUCUUCAAAGCUUAGCAAUCGCAACUGUGGUUCCAAUUCCAAAUAAAUAUAAAGUUCGAAACAAUAGAAAACAUCAGAUACGAAAUUCACAGUCUAACUAACAUGAUAACAUCAAUGAUACAACAACUUCAACUUAACUUUCGAAAACCAAUAUGUAAUGACACAAAGCUAAAUGAGCAACUACUGCGGUAUCCAAUAAAUAUAUAAAGAUUGAAACAAAGAAAACAUUAAGAUAAGAAAUUCUGAAUGCAAUGUGACCAACAAAAUCAAUUACUUGGCACUGGCACUGCCACUGUAGGAAUUUAACAAAAGAAACUCCUCACAUCAACCACCAGUUGCAUUGCGUGUAUCAAAACUCACCAGAUAUGCUCACAAAUUCAUACUAACAAUUAUUUUAAAAACAAAAUCAAAAUAAGAACAAGGAUGCAGUGCAGUGCAGAUUCACUCGAAAACUAAGUGAGAUUGCGGGAUUAUCGGAACUGAAUGGCUUGGAUUUGCGUUUCAGCUUCUGGUUAUCUAGUGGUAGACGUCACAAAAUUAGUAAAAUUAACUAAUUUGAAUGAAAAUAAAGAAUAAAACUUUACCAUGGGAAUCUGCAAGCAGAGAUAGAGAGAGAGUACCUGAGGACUGAGAGAAGAAGAAUAUGUGAGAGGGAGAGGAGAGAGAUUUUGCAGCUGAAGAGUGGAGAAAGAAAGGAGGGAAAAGGGGUACCGAGCAAGUGGCAGCCUACUUGAUACCUGGAGCAAUUUAAUUGAUUACCGUUGGAUCAAUCUCAACGGCUGAAACUAAACACUUUCUGUAUCCAAGAAAAACAAGGCAUCGGACUGAAAACUCCAUUCAGGACUCGGAUUGAUUCAUCAGCGCGCUCACUCUCACUCUGUUGUUUUAAGUGAUGGAUCAUAUAAACUAAGGAAGCCAGAUCGUCGUUGUUUUCAGAGAAACACAUCUUCUCGGCCCUCUCAACUCCGAAACACACACGAGGGAGGCCAAAUGGGCCUCAGCCUUCUUCCUCGCAAUCUCACAACAAACCCAUACCUCUACCAAACGGCCCUCGCAACCUCUACCACUUUCGCUGAUUCAAUCCACGUCUUCGUCGAGGUAAAGACUUCAUCUUUUUCAAUGUUAGAGUUAAUGGGUUUUACCCCUUUACCUGAUCAAGUAUGUAAUCGCCAUUGUAAACUUGCAUGCUAGUUCUUCUCUGAUCAAGGCCAGGAAGUCGACCGAUGCUAAAUUGGAUUAUUCUCACAUCACGGUAAAACAAUUUUUGAAAUUACUGCCUGAAGUUUACUGCAUUUUCGUCACUAAUCUAAACCCAGAUAUGAGAUAUCGAAUAAGUAGCAAAUUGAUUUUGGGAUUUUAGGUUGAGCUUCGGACAGUUGAUGGGUUCUUGAAGGAUAGCACUCAAGAGUUACUACUUCAUUCCCGUUUAUGACAAGGUAUUAUUUCUUAUUCUUUUUCGGUGUCAGAUUUCGCUGGAUCUUUGCAUUUCACGUGCUCUCAUGCUUCAGUGAUGAUGUUGUGUUGUCUGUUAAAUUAUCGGAGGAGAUGGCGAAGAGCUAGACCGGUAAACGGUCGGAUUUAUUGGAUUUGAGUCGGGUUGAAUCCGAUCUGUUAAUUUAAUGGGUCAUUUAAACCCAACCCGUUAAAUUGACUGAUCAUCCGAACCCAACUUGUUAACAUUUUAUCCAAAUCAAUUACAAUCCCGUUUUAUAUAGUAGAAUUCGACUUUCUAUCAAUUAUAUGCAUCUCCUAAUCUUAACAUGGAUGAGAAAAUUGUAUAAGUAAAACACAACUUCGGCAGACCCGACAAUGAUGAGCCCUGCGAGGCUUGUAUUUAGAACACUUUUCACAGCCCCCAUGUCAGAGAUCAAGAAUCAAAAGUUUCAAAAUUAGCUACAGAGAGAAGAAAUCAGCAUUUUUAAUGUGCGGCUAGACGCACUGCCAUAAAGUACUUGAUGACGUGAACUCUUCAAAAAUUCAAUGAAAGUGGGUUGCAGGGGGAAGAGAGAGAGAGCUUUGCUUUUAAUAGUGCAGUACUGCAGUAUUCCGUCGAGUUGAAGAAGACGUCGGAGAGAGUGGUAAUUUCUGAGGAAGAAGGUGAGGGGGAAGUUCUCAGAGAUGACGUGCACACUACUGCAAUAGUGCAAUGCGAGAGAGUGAGGGUUUCAUUAUUACUAUUGAAAUUACACAAAAGCCCUCAAUAACGAGUGUUAACGGGUGGUUAAUGGGUUUCGCAGGUUCAUCCAAAAUAACCCGUUAUUUAACGGGUGCUUAAUGGGUUGACCCCGUUAACUACCCGACCCGAUAAACACUCAUCCACAUACUCAUUUUAACGGGUCAGAUCGGGUUGGGUUAACGGGUCGGAUUUAAAAUGCCAGUGCUACGAAGAGCCAUACACUUGGUAUUGCUUACUCGACUGAAACUCUCUGGUUGGGACUGUUAAUUGUACAGUUGAACUACACCACUCUCACAUCAUGAAUGACAGGUUUUGUUUUUGUUAUAGAUCAAGUCCUGAUUUGCCUGUAUUAUUGUUGAUCUUGGUAAGUUUACUUAUUUAGCUUUAGUUGGGUUCCUAAUUAUGCAUGCUUGUACUUUUUGUUCCAUACUUUGAAAUUGGCUUCAACCGCAAGAUCAUUCAAUUUGGUCACUUUUUUUUUAUAAUUUGGAACUAGUCCCCUAGACCAACCAACCUUCUUUAUAAUUUGACUCCUUCACGUAAAGCCACAUGCCCCCAAAAAUACCCUAAACCCGAAAGUCAAAUUAACUUUUGACCAAAAAAACCAAAUAUUGUCAAAUUAACGGUUUGAUUAAUGGAGGUAUGAAAUUGCUAAAAAAUACAAGUUUGUGUAUGAGAUUAAAAUGCUCUAAAGAUGUUGUAUGAGGUUACAAUUACACUCACACUUAGGAUGUAAAAUGUUAUUUACUUAAUUUUAAUUGUAAAUUUUGAAGUUUUCAAGGGCAAUUUAUGGUAUUUACAUUUAGAAUGCUUCACAAUAUAAAGUCUCCCACUUUAUAGAUAUAGACAAUUUAAUUGUAAAUUUUGAAGUUUUCAUGGAUAAUUUAUGGUAUUUUGAAUGUUUCAUCCUAUAUAAAAUUUAUGGUAUUUUGAAUGUUUCAUCCUAUAUAUAUAUAUAUAUAUAUAUAUAAAGGUUUAUGUACACCUCGUGUAACUUUUUUUUGUCCUAGUUUCAUCAAAGAACUGCUAGUGGGGGAUUCUCCACAAAAAUUGAUAGUCAAAGUCCUCUCAAAUUCUAUAUUAUCCUCAACAUCCCAUUCACUUACGAGGAAACUUCGUCGUCAAUAAGUGUGGAGUGCCUGGUGGCUAAUGGGAACCUUCCUCUUCAUAUAUCAUAUUAUGUCUUGUCCCUCUCAGAAACUGCAUAUAAUUGUCCUUGGCCUUGCAUAUGCUUGCCCUGCUUUCAUUCAUUGCGAGAACCAAGAAGCAGAGGGUUUCUCUAGAUGGAUGCUUUCCGAGAUUCCUCUUCCUCCUCUUACCGGUGUUCCUAUCAUGCCUUCUUGAGUUUCAGAGGCCAGGACACGCGCAGGGGCUUUACUGAUCACCUCUAUAGAGCCUUGGAGCUAGCAGGAAUCCACACGUUUAGAGACGAUGAUGAAAUCAAGAGAGGGGAGAAUAUUGAGUCGGAGUUAGACAAGGCGAUACAGGAGUCACAAGUAUCGAUAAUUGUCUUCUCCAAGGACUACGCUUCCUCAAGGUGGUGUUUGAACGAACUUCUGAAGAUCGUGGAACGUAGAAAUACUGAUCAUAGACAUGUGGUUCUGCCAGUUUUCUAUGAUGUGGAUCCAUCCGAUGUCAGGAAGCAGAGUGGUACUUUUGCUAAAGCAUUUGCCAGACAUGAGGAGCGAUUCAGUACCGAGAUGGACAAGGUGGAGCAGUGGAGAAGAGCUCUUGGAGAUGUUGCAUCUUUGGGAGGCAUGGUUUUAGGAGAUCGGUAAUUUCUAUUCUCAUUAUCUUCUCACGCUAAUUGAAAGUGUCUUUUAAAUUAAGUAAAAUUGUAGAUGGUGGUGAAGCUUGAAAUUGUUCGAUUUUGGUUUAUGUGUUCAGUGUUCCUAUCUAUACUGCAAUUUGUACGAGGAGCAAUCAUUUCCGUACAUGACAUAUUAUGUAAAAGAAAAUAACUUAUUUCUACUUCGUAUAUUUUGUUUCAAAUGAAUUACAGGUAUGAGGGGCAGUUCAUCCAAGAUGUUGUUGAAGAGAUUAGUAAUAAACUGGAUCCCGCAGCUUUAGACGUUGCUCCCUUUGCAGUUGGAAUAGAUAAUCGUGUGCAAGACCUAAAUAUGUGGUUACAAGAUGGAUCAAAUGAUGUUGGUGUAGCUGUCAUCUGUGGUAUGGGUGGAAUUGGCAAGAGCACCAUUGUGAAAGCUGCUUAUAACCAAAACUUUGAUAGAUUUCAAGGUAGCAGCUUUCUUGCAGAUAUACGAGAAUCUUCAGAACAACCUAAUGGUUUUGCUCGCUUGCAAAGAAAACUUCUUUUAGAUAUCCAAAAGGGGAACGCAAAGAAAGUAUACAAUGUGGCUGAAGGAAUAAGCAGGAUCAAACGAGCCGUAGGCUAUAAAAGAGUUCUUAUUGUUCUCGAUGAUGUGAACAGCCGGGAUCAACUCAAUGCAAUUCUUGGAAUGCGAGAAUGGCUUCAUCCAGGAAGUAAAAUUAUCAUAACAACUCGACAUGAACAUUUGUUAAAUGCUCAUGAAGUUUGUGAAAAGUUUAUGGUUCGAGAACUGGAUGAAGAUGAAUCACUUGAGCUUUUCAGUUGGCAUGCCUUCGGACAAUCCCAUCCGGUAGAAGGUUACAUGGAGCUUUCAAGACAUGUGGUGCAGCAUUGUGGAGGGCUUCCAUUAGCUAUUCAAGUUCUGGGAUCUUCUUUAUCUGGAAAAAGUGUAGAAGUAUGGCAAAGUGCAUUGCAGAAGUUAGACGUGAUCCCUAAUGACAAAAUUCAAAAAGUUCUGAGGAUAAGUUUUGAUUCUUUACACGAAGAUCAUGACCAAAAUUUAUUCCUUCAUAUAGCUAGCUUCUUCACAGGAAAGACGAUGGAUUAUAUAAUUACAAUACUGGACAACUUAGAGUUUUGCACAAGGGUUGGGAUUGAAAAUCUAGUUGAUAGAUGUCUAGUGACAAUUCAAGGGACGAAGUUGGUCAUGCAUCAAUUGUUGAGAAACAUGGCAAUGGCAAUUAUUCGCAAAGAAUCACCUCAUGACCCUGGAAAACGUAGUAGAGUGUUGCAGAACGAUGCCUCUAAUAUUUUGAGAAAAUUAAGUGUAAGAAAUGUGUUUUUCAUGCGUAUGUAUUUUUAGUUAUGAUUUGCAUGUGCAGUACUGGUUAUAUACUUACCCAAUGCUCUGAUUUUUUUGCAGGGCACAGAAAAUAUUAAGGGCCUCAUGCUCAACCUUGCUAGCAAAAGAACAUUUGUUGGAAGUGAUAACAAACGAUGCCAUGCUGAAGAUUAUGAUGGAAACUGUUCAAGACGACGUCGGCUUGGUUUCUUCUCUUGGAAGCCAGUUAGUUUUUCCUCCACAAACUCAGCUUCUGCAUCAAAUGAGAUAGAUUUCAAAUCUGAGGCUUUUAGAAGGAUGCACAAUCUUGAAAUUCUCAUGCUCAACAACGUCAACGUCAGGGGAAGCUACGAAGAAUUUUCAAAAAAAUUAGUAUGUUUAUCUUGGCGAGGAUUCCACUUAAAAUCAAUACCCGAAAAUUUUUGUUUGGAAAACCUGGUUGUUCUAGACAUGCGAAAUAGUAGCCUACAACAUGUUUGGAAUGAGACCAGGGUAUGUAAUUAUCUCUCUCUCUCUCUCUCUCUCACACACACACAAAAAUUAAUAGGGGCCAUUAUAUCUUCUUAGAAGCUAAUUAAUUUGUAUUAUUAUUGAAACAGGUUAUUCCGAGGCUGAAGAUUCUUAAUUUCAGUCAUUCGCAUGGCCUUAGGACAGUCCCCGAUUUCUCAGGACUCUAUAACCUUGAGAGGUUGAUUCUUAAACAUUGCAUAAAUUUGGUUGAGGUUCAUGAGUCCAUCGGAAACCUAGAAAAACUUGCUGUUUUGAAUCUAGAAGGCUGCAAAAAUCUCAUGAAGCUUCCAGUAUUGAGAUCUAUUCAGGAUCUUAUUCUUUCUGGUUGCUCAAAGCUUGAAAUGAAGAAACUCAAUCUGGUAUCAGCUAAAUCAUGGUAUUCAGUCUGGUCGUGGGUGUCGCCAAGAAAACAUACUGAAUUAAGCAGUUUCUCAUUGGCAAGUUUACCACGUUCUUUGAUAAGUUUAAGUCUGGAUUGCUGCAAUAUAUCAGAGAUUCCAAGUGCCCUAACUAUGCUGUCCUCGUUAGAGUACUUGAAGCUGGAUGAUAAUCCGAUUACAAGCCUACCAGAAAGCAUGAACAAUCUUGUUAAGCUCCAGAGUCUUAAAGUAUCUGGUUGCAGAAACCUCACAAUGCUUCCAGAGCUCCCACGUUCUUUGACAAGUUUAACACUGGCUUGCUGCAAUAUAUCAGAGAUUCCAAGUGCCCUAACUAUGCUGUCCUUAUUAGAGUACUUGGAUCUUGAUGGUAAUCCGAUUACAAGCCUACCAGAAAGCAUGAACAAUGUUGUUAAGCUCCAGACUCUUAAAGUAUCUGGUUGCAGAAACCUCACAAUACUUCCAGAGCUCCCACGUUCUUUGACAUGUUUAACACUGGCUUGCUGCAAUAUAUCAGAGAUUCCUAGUGCCCUAACUAUGCUGUCCUCAUUAGAGUACUUGGAUCUUGAUGGUAAUCCGAUUACAAGCCUACCAGAAAGCAUGAACAAUGUUGUUAAGCUCCAAACUCUUAAAGUAUCUGGUUGCAGAAACCUCACAAUACUUCCAGAGCUCCCACGUUCUUUGACAGGUUUAACACUGGCUUGCUGCAAUAUAUCAGAGAUUCCAAGUGCCCUAACUAUGCAGUCCUCAUUAGAGUACUUGGAUCUUGAUGGUAAUCCGAUUACAAGCCUACCAGAAAGCAUGAACAAUCUUGUUAAGCUCCAGACUCUUAAAGUAUCUGGUUGCAGAAACCUCACAAUACUUCCAGAGCUCCCACGUUCUUUGACAGGUUUAACACUGGCUUGCUGCAAUAUAUCAGAGAUUCCAAGUGCCCUAACUAUGCAGUCCUCAUUAGAGUACUUGGAUCUUGAUGGUAAUCGGAUUACAAGCCUACCAGAAAGCAUGAACAAUCUUGUUAAGCUCCAGACUCUUAAAGUAUCUGGUUGCAGAAACCUCACAAUACUUCCAGAGCUCCCACGUUCUUUGACAUGUUUAACACUGGCUUGCUGCAAUAUAUCAGAGAUUCCAAGUGCCCUAACUAUGCAGCCCUCAUUAGAGUACUUGGAUCUUGAUUGUAAUCCGAUUACAAGCCUACCAGAAAGCAUGAACAAUCUUGUUAAGCUCCAGACUCUUAAAGUAUCUGGUUGCAGAAACCUCACAAUACUUCCAGAGCUCCCAAGUUCUUUGACAUGUUUAACACUGGCUUGCUGCAAUAUAUCAGAGAUUCCAAGUGCCCUAACUAUGCUGUCCUCGUUGGAGUACUUGGAUCUUGAUGGUAAUCCGAUUACAAGCCUACCAGAAAGCAUGAACAAUCUUGUUAAGCUCCAGACUCUUAAAGUAUCUGGUUGCAGAAACCUCACAAUACUUCCAGAGCUCCCACGUUCUUUGACAUGUUUAACACUGGCUUGCUGCAAUAUAUCAGAGAUUCCAAGUGCCCUAACUAUGCUGUCCCUCGUUGGAGUACUUGGAUCUUGAUGGUAAUCCGAUUACAAGCCUACCAGAAAGCAUGAACAAUCUUGUUAAGCUCCAGACUCUUAAAGUAUCUGGUUGCAGAAACCUCACAAUACUUCCAGAGCUCCCAUGUUCUUUGACAAGUUUAACACUAGCUUGCUGCAAUAUAUCAGAGAUUCCAAGUGCCCUAACUAUGCUGUCCUCGUUGGAGAAGUUGGAUCUGAGUUGCAAUCCGAUUACAAGCCUACCAGAAAGCAUGAACAAUCUUGUUAAGCUCCAAACUCUUAAAGUAUCUGGUUGCAGAAACCUCACAAUACUUCCAGAGCUCCCACAUUCUUUGACAAGUUUAACACUGGCUUGCUGCAAUAUAUCAGAGAUUCCAAGUGCCCUAACUAUGCUGUCCUCGUUGGAGAAGUUGGAUCUGAGUUACAAUCCGAUUACAAGCCUACCAGAAAGCAUGAACAAUCUUGUUAAGCUCCAGACUCUUAAAGUAUCUGGUUGCAGAAACCUCACAAUACUUCCAGAGCUCCCACGUUCUUUGACAAGUUUAACACUGGCUUGCUGCAAUAUAUCAGAGAUUCCAAGUGCCCUAACUAUGCUGUCCUCAUUAGAGUACUUGGAUCUUGAUGGUAAUCUGAUUACAAGCCUACCAGAAAGCAUGAACAAUCUUGUUAAGCUCCAGACUCUUAAAGUAUCUGGUUGCAAAAACCUCACAAUGCUUCCAGAGCUCCCGCGUAGUUGAAACAAUUGUGUGAUCGUGGUUGCACAUCAUUGAAAAGAAUAACAAAUUAACCGAAGUUGGGCAUGUCACCGGGCUUAGAUUACCGGUUUUCUUGCAUAGUAAUGGACCCAAGGCUAUGGUAUUGUGGGAAACUUGUUGAUUUUAGAAGCUUGUUGGAUACACUAGCAUUGGACUUAUAUCUCUCAGAUCUAUUCGAUUUGGAACCCAAAGGUGGCAUUGAGGUCCAAGGGAACUAUUGUGAGAGUUUGGGCGUCAAGGUUCUCUCUCUCUCUCUCUCUCUCUCUCUCUCUCUCUCUCAUGUACAAAUGCUUAUAAUAUGGUGAAUAAGAUCUCUAUGGCGUAAACGAUUAGAUUGUAAUGACAACACCACCAUGAAACUGCAGGGAACUUUUCACUGCUGCAUAUUGAGCAUAUUUGUUCAUGGGAGCAAGAUUCCAGAUCGGUUCAAUUACAGGAGCAUGGGUAACACUGUGUUCUCUAUUAUUGUUCCUUCACAUCUAAGGGGGGUGUAUUCAAUUAGGAUUUUGAGAGAGUCUCUAGGAAUUAAUGAUUCCAGGUGUAUUCAAUUGGGAAUUUAAAAGACUUUAUAAAAGUCUUGGUGUAUUCAAUUGAGAUUCUUAAAGACUUCUUACAAUUCCCUAUAAAUUCAGGUGUAUUCAAUCAUAACUUUUUGAAAGUCUCUAAAAGUUUAGGUAUAUUGAGAAAGGAAUUGGAUUUGAACGGAUUUGUGAUUUGGUGGAUUUUGGAGGAUUUCAAGGUGAUAUGUAUACCAAAGAGCUUGGCAAAUCUCACCUCAACCCUAGAAACUUUGAGACAUGUUGAGCGUGCUGCUCUCUCCUCCAGAGAGCGUCUUCUCCUCCCCAGAAACAUGGGCUCCAAGGUAAAAAAUUUCUCACCUUGUACAUGCUAUCUUUUUUUCUCCCCUUCAAGCUUCAUGAUUUUCUUGUUUUGAUAGUGUUGUUCUAGGGUUAGGGUUUUUCUGGUUACUUUGGAGUUAAGGUUUUUCUUGUUAGGGUUAGGGUUUUUCUGACCAUCAAACUUUGUGAAAUUUUUAUAUAUAUAUUGUGAAGAUACAAGUAUUGAUUUUACCGUUUGGAUCCAAAAGUUGUUGAGUUUCUGCUUUGAUUACUUUGGAAUACAGUAUAGAUUGGGUUAGGGUUUGGAAUUCUCAAGUUUGUAUAGGUUGUUUUCCUUUUCCAUCCCGUAAUCAGUGGAGCACUGAUCCUUUUCUUUUCAACUGCAACAUUCUUGCAACCUCAUUCUUUUUCUUUUCAUCUUAAUAAAAAAUUUAUUUCAUGCCUCAAAGUUUUUUUUUUUAGUCGAAACAUGGUAGGGUGAAGUUGUUUCCUUGAUUUUUCAACCUUUGUAUCUAGUCUAUUCCUGAUCAGCCUGUAAUAGGGCUCGUACUUCUUGGCAUUCUUUACGGUAUCAUAAAUCAAAUCAAAACCAAUGGAUUUCCCCCUCCAAAAUGGGUGCAGAACUUGAAUAUGAAGAUGGAAUUUGGGUCCCUCACCUCUGAAAACGUUGUCUAUACAAAUAAUUUGUCACUCCAAAAGUUGUUGAGUUUCUGCUUUCUCUAUUCUUUUAAAAUGUUUUUUGCUCACUUAUACGAAUUAGCUGUGAAUAAAGAAUCCAUGUGAUCAUAUACACAAACUAAUUACGUUUAUUAUCUUAUUAUAGGGAGUUCAUUUGGAGUUGCAAGGAAGUGAUUUCAGAGGUGAGGCAUUUAUGUCCAAUAUUCUUCUGAACUAUCGUCCUAAUAUUUAGAACUCACCUUGAUAUGUAAAUGUAUGACUGGAACGAAUUUAUGACUCCAAACUGUAUUAGCUGCUUGUAACUUUGAUUUGGAAUUCAUAUAUAUUCUUAGUUGAUGGGAGGGUUCAGCUCAUGACUCCAAACUGUUACAUGAUGUUGUAUCAAGGAAGAACAGACUUAAAGUUCCAGAAGGUUCGUAUUCAUUCAUUUAUUUACACUAGGACGUACCAUAAAUAAUAACUUUAUGUGUUUUAUUUUUAGGUAAAUUUUUUCUAGUGGAUUGUGGAUUUGCAAAUCGUCGUCAAAUUUUAGCUCUGUUUUGAGGUGUUCGAUAUCAUCUCCAAGAUUUUGCUGGUAACGAUCGUGACCCCGUAAAUGCAAAUGAGUUGUUCAAUCUUCGACAUGCUUCCUUGAGAAACAUAGUGGAGAGGAUAUUUGGUGUAUUUAAAUCUCGAUUCAUAGUUUUUAAGUCUGCACCUCCAUUUCCAAUGAAAACACAAGCAGAGUUAGUGUUAGCUUGUGCAGGAUUGCACAACUUUCUUCGCAAAGAGUGUCGUUCUGAUGAAUUUCCAAUCAAACAAGAAGAUGAUGAAUUUGAAAAUGAUGAUGAACUAGGUAAUCAAACUCAAGAGCAACGGCGACAGAUUGCUAAUGCAUGGAGAGCUAGCAUAGCUACAAAUAUGUGGACAGAUGCUAUGAGUGAGAGCAUUCAAAGAUGACAAAUAUAAUUAAUUGUUUUUACGGAUUGGAGUAUGCAAUUUGUGUUUGAAAAACUUUGAUAGUUAGUAUUUUGUAAGCCUUAACUUUCAAGAUUUUGGAUGCCAAUGUUUAAUUCACUUUGAUAGCUACUUGAAAACAUUGCAUGUGAACUUGGUAUUGGGAUUUGGUAUUAGUAGGAUGAAACUGAUUUUGGCUUGUAAAGGGAAGGAAAAUGUUGAUCAAAUUCUCUAAAAUUCUCUAACCCCAUGUAAAGAAUUCUCUCAUAAUUCAUGUGAAUUCUCUGGAAGUUAUAAUUAAUUCACUCAAAAUCUCUGGGAAUUCAUUUUUUUUUCCUCUCAAACUCUCUCAGAUUCCAUAGAUUUAAAUUCCUGGAGACUCUCAAAAUCCUAAUUGAAUACACUCCCCUCUCAAGAUCGUAGGUUUAAACGCAUGUAUAUUAUAUGCACAGCAGUCGGAUUGCCUUGAGGUUGCACGUGACCAUGAUGACCAUUCGCUAGAACUUAGGAAUGAGACAAAGGGCCUUAAGUGGAACUGCCACUUGUGGGAUGAGGUUGAAUGGAAAGUGAUGAACGAAGAUAUGUUAUGGCUUAGCCGUUGGAUCAUGGGGGAACAAUGAGUUGGAAUGCGGGGAAAGAGUGUGUCUUGCAAUCAAAGAGGACUAUGGUUUGCUCACAAAGGAGAUUGGAGUCCAGUUUGUGUACGAGCAGCAAAAUAAGGAUAAGGAGGAUGUCCCAUCAAGUGGUGAAGAUACAACGAUCCAACGUGAAAGAUCUACUUGGGAGUGGAGCCAAAGUUUCCUUGAAACCACAAGAUCCCGUGUUCCGGGGGGUGUAGAGACGGGGGUUCAAUGCAUCCAUAGCUGCGAUAAGAAAGUAAUUUCAACUGUCACGUGCGCGGCUGAAUACUAUUUCUGUAACAUUGACAGUGACAGGAUCCAUCUUCCGAGAGGCUCUGAGGCAGUGGGUCGUAGGUUUUCGGACUUUAGCCAAAAUUGUCGCCUUUUUAGCCAAAAUAACCCAGUUUAAUUGAUGUUGGUGAUGCCCAAAUCACUAGAUUCAAAUGUGUAUUGGUUGUUACGCUUUCGUUUCUAUCUAUUUUCUGUUUCCUCCUAAAAAAUUGUUUUCAAGAAUUUAAUAAAAUUUCAUAUUAAACAAGUUCUUGCCUGGAUAAGAGUAUGAACUAGCAAAAAUGCCCGCGCUCCGCUGCAGGGACUUUUAGAAGUAUGAUCUUGUACAAUCUGAUUUCUUUUGCUAUUCCUAGUUCUUUUUGGCAUCAUGUGCAAAACCAAAUUGAUGGCUAGGAAGAAAAAAUGAAAACACCUGCAUAAAUUAAAUUUUCCAUCACCCCUACAUUAUAAUUAAAUAAAGCAAAUACACAAUAAUCAUCUCACAAUUACAGAAGCAAGGACUAUUAAAUGCCACAAUUAUUUAACAACUACUAUGCAUAAUUCUUAAAAAAUGAGUAUAAAAUUAACCUCUUUUGAAAAACGAAGGAAGAAAGAUGAAAGCUUAUAACUAUGUUGGACUCAAUUAUUUGACAUUAAUUACACAAACCCAAUUCCAUAUAUAUAGCCAGACAAGCUUUAUCCUAGAGAGAAACCAUGCCCAAAUGAUUAUAUAAUCUCUAUACUGUGAAUUCAGAGACUAAAUUUCAUAACUUUGCCAAGCAUUACAGGAACCAUGGAAAGAAUAAAAAUGACCACAAAGAUUGCAAAACAAUUAACCACAGGUGGUGUUUAUAUGCCCACUGAGAGAAAAAAGCUUCUGCAAGUCAAAAAACGUAUUUAUAUAAAACAGGCCUGUACCAUUUGAAAGAGCCUCUUGUAUCCAUUCCAAUUAUACUCAUGUCUACCAUAUCCCUCUACAAUUCCACACCACCAAUCAACCAUAACUGAUUUCAAUACCCUUAGCUGCUUUAGUGGACCAUCUAGUGACACCUAACUGCCACCAAAAUAAAAGACAUGAUCAAGACCAUACAGAUUACAGACUAAGAUUAAAAACAAUUGUUAUCUAUUAAGCAAAACUCGAACUCCUUGACAUGGCAACCUCUUAAUCCAGGAUGUAGAGUAGAAAAACAAAAUUAUUGAAAAACCGAAAAAUAACAAUUUAACUUGCAUAGUAAACGAAUAUUAGUAAAGUUACAGAACUCAAUGGACUACAUAUACCAGUAAAAAAGCGAAACAUCAGUGUUUGGGAAGUUACCUUAUUUGAAAUGUCAGGAGCAUUUGGUGUACAUACAGGGUAGACAGUCCUUGCAAAAUUCAGGGCUUCAAAAUAAAAUAAAAAAUAAAUUCAAAACUAUUAAUCCUAACACCUGUUCAGUAAAGGAUAAAACAAUCUUUCCAUCAAACAAAUUUGAGAAACAAAAAAAGGGAACUAAAUUUAAGUUGAAUAGAGGUGACAAUUGCUUACCUAGAAAUCCAAACGAAAUCCCCCAAAAUUCACGCCCCCAAAACCCUACAAAACACUAGAGUUGAAAACCAGCGCUACACUGGGAUCAUCCACACAGCGACGAACUCCGAUCAUUGUCACCGAUCUCCAUCUCCUUCCAAAGCCAAAACCCUUUUAAGAAAAAGAGGGUAAUGAAUAUGAUAAAGCCAGUAAUGAAUUUUUUUUUGAAAAGAAACGAAAGAAUUUUAUAAAACGAAAGAAUUACAAAAGAGAAACAGUAAACCACGUGGAAAAGAAAUCCACCUGGAGCUAGAAGAAAACUAGCAAGGGCCCCUAACUAAAACUAAAUGAACAGAGGAAAAGCUAGACCAAAUCAAAUAACGGCAGCUAACAAAUCCCUAAAAAUAGAAGAGAAAUUGUAAUCUCUAAACUCCACUGAAACCGAAGCCCAAAGGGCUGCCCAGUGUUUUACUCUAUCCCAAAGCUCCUCAACCCCCACUCCCUUGUAAUCCUCAAAGACUCUUUUAUUACGCUCCAACCAAAUGUUCCAGAAGAGGGCCAACAACAGAGAUCCCCACAAAGUUUUGGCUUUCCUCCCUUUCCCUAGGCCUUCGAACUUAGUGCUUAGGAGCUCAAAACAGCCCUUUGGAGUGACCCAACUUGCUCCAGCUUCCUUGAGCAAAUUCCACCAAAUUUGAAUGCUAUACGGACAGUGGAGGAAAACAUGGUUGACGCUUUCCUCCCCGGAUUUGCACAAAGCGCACCAUUGGGGGGAGAAACAUGCAAAAGGCAUUCGUCUUUGGACUUGUUCACAAGUAUUAACCUUCCCGAGCGCCAAUAGCCACACAAGGAUUUUGACUUUUGGAGGCACUUUUGCUUUCCAAAUCUGAACGAAAGGGGGAAAUUGUUGCACAACUUCAUUGUUGCAAAGGAAAGAGUUAUAGGAUUUGCAAGUGAACUGGCCAGAACCUUCUAAAUUCCAUCUUCUCCUGUCUUCUCUAGAAUGACACAGCCGUACGGACUCCACCUUCUGCACUAAACCAGCCACAUCUUCAAUCUCCGACUCUCUUAGGUUUCUCCUAAAAUCGAAAUUCCAACUGACCGGCUGUAAAGAAGAAACCACCAAAUUGGAAUACUUUGGUUUUUUGUCCUUGCUAAAGAAAAUAAUCUAGGGAAUUGCUCCUUCAACGGUCCGCCCUCCAACCAACCGUCCUCCCAGAAUCUCAGCCUCUCUCCGUUACCAACCUCGAAGAUGCAUGAGUGAAGAAAUGAAGGGUAACCAGCUGAGAUGUCUGUCCAGGGACGCCUGCUCGAGCCUCGACUCGGACAAUUAGCAUCCCAACCAUUUGCCACCAGACCGUACUUGCUCUUUAUCACCCUAUGCCAAAGAGAGUUUGAUUCGCGCGGGAAUCUCCACAGCCACUUGGCUAAUAAGGCGGCAUUCCGAUUUCUCAAAUUUCCCAGACCAAGGCCACCUUCCUCCUUGCUUUUACACACUUUCUCCCACUUGACCAAGUGAAACUUCUUUCCUUCCUCAACCCCUUCCCAAAGGAACCCUUUCAUUAGCUUUUCCAAUCUCCCAAUGACCCCUCGUGGGGCUUUGAACAGGGACAUGUAGUAUAUGGGCAAGGAUCCUAGGACAGCUUGGAUCAAUGUUAAUCUUCCGCCUCUAGAUAAAAAAGCUUUAUUCCAACCCUGAAGUCUCAAUUCCACCUUCUCUACCACCGGGUCCCAGAACUUAAUAGAUUUUGGCUUGCCUCCGAGGGGAAGACCCAGGUAUUUCAUUGGCCAACUGCCCACCUCACAGCCCCAAGAACUUGCUAGCCUUGUAAUUUUCUCGCCAUUAGAAUUAAUUCCCACCAAGGAACACUUUGCUUUGUUAAUCUUCAAACCUGAAACCUUGCCAAAAAUUUGCAGCAAAUGUAAUAAAUUGUUCCAAGCCUCCUCAUGCCCUUCCAAGAAAAAAAUUGUGUCAUCCGCAGAUUGAAGAUGAGAGAUCUCCACGUUAUCUUGCCCAACACGCAGCCCUUUGAUCAAAUGAUUAUCUUGAGCCUUCUCAAUUAAUCUGCUCAGCACGUCUACAACUAGGGUGAACAAGAACGGAGACAGAGGGUCACCUUGUCUCAGUCCUCUUGAAGCUUUGAAUUUUCCCCUAGGUCUCCCAUUGAUCAGAACUGAGAAAGUAGCCGUGCAUAUGCAACCAAGCACCCAUUUUCUCCAUCUAAACCCGAAUCCCUUUCUCAGUAAUACUUCUUCCAAGAAUCUCCAAUCGACGUGGUCAUAAGCUUUUUCGAAAUCAAUCUUAAGAACCAAACCCUCCUCCUUCUUCUGCCUCACCUCUUCGACCACCUCGUUUGCUACGAGGACAGCGUCCAGAAUUUGUCUGUCUUUAACAAAAGCUCCUUGAGAUGGGGAAAUUGUACUGCCCAUGACAUUCUUUAGUCUUGUAGCAAGGACUUUCGCCACUACCUUGUAAAGACUGGUAACUAAGCUUAUAGGCCUAUAGUCCCUCAAGUGCACAGAAUCUGCCUUUUUCGGGAUUAGGCAUAUAUAAGUUUCAUUUGUUACUGUGUUUAUAAUCCCAUUUUCGAAGAAUUCUUCCAACACCUUCAUGAUAUCCGCCUUCAAAAUAUCCCAACAACUUUGGAACAUUUGCAAAGAGAAGCCAUCUGGGCCAGGGGACUUAUCAUUCCCACCAUCGAAAACGGCUUUUUUAACUUCGGCUUCCUCGAACGGCCGUUCAAGCCAAGCUGCCUCGGUGGCAUUAAUUGGACCCCAAUUAAUACCAUCCAGCCCCCAGCACUCCUCUUCGUUGCUACUGUACAGAGACUUGAAAAAAUGAAUGAUUUCAUUUUCAAUCUCCUCUACCCCUUCUACCAUUCUACCAUCUUCCACUUCCAAUCUCUCUAUAAAAUUUCUCUUCCUUCUCCCACUUGCUACCUUAUGGAAAAAUCUAGUGUUGCCAUCCCCGUCUUUGGCCCAAUCCACUUUGCUUCUCUGCCUCCACUUUACUUCUUCCUUCCAAGCCAGAUCUUCCACUAGGAAUCGGGUCUCUUCCCUCUUUCUUUUUGAAUCCGAGUCUAGACCUUCCCUUCCUUCUUUAAAGUCAAUUUCCUCUAAUUUGGCAUGGGCUUCCUUAAGAUUUCUCUCAAUGUCUCCGAAGACCUCCUUGCUCCAAGAUUGCAACUUCUUUUUAAUAAUUUAACUUACUGGAAAAUUUGUAUCCCUCCCAACCUUCGACUAUCGCAGAAAACCACCACUCUUUGAGAUUGUUUCUAAAAUCCGGAUGAUGUAGCCAAGAAUUCUCGAACCUAAAAGGGCCUGGCCCCCACGUCACCUUGUUGGUAUCUAAUUCGAUUGGGCAAUGAUCAGAGGUUACCCUUGCCAGAGCCUUUUGCCUUGCAUGUGGAAACGACUCCUCCCAACCACCAGAGAAUAAGAAUCUGUCUAAUCUUCAGCAAACUGUUUCUUCUCGAAAAUUAGACCAAGUGAACUGAGCGUUGAGCAGAUCUGGGUCAAUGAGUUCGGAGUCCUGGAUAAACUGGUUAAAAAUCCUCAUACUUGCAGUGGACCUUCCCCCAUUAGACUUCUCGUUUUCGAACCUCACCACAUUAAAAUCUCCCCCCACACACCAUCUUGGACUGCAAAGACCAUAAAGGCCAGCUAGUUCUUCCCAGAAAUCUUGUCUCUCCCUAUAUUUGCAAGGGCCAUAGACCCCUGAGAGCCACCAUUCCAAACCAUUCAACUCUCUAAUUUUGAUGGAAACUGAGAACACUCCUACUAGAGACUCGACAACUGAGAUAUGUUUAGUGUUCCACAUUACAACAAUGCCCCCAGAACUUCCUUGAGCAGGGGCGAAAACCCAUUCUUUAAAUCUGCUUCCCCACACACUUGCCACUAGCUUUCUAUCAAUUGUGGCCGUUUUUGUUUCUUGUAAAAUGAUGAUAUCAGCCCGUGCUCGGCGGAAGUAGUCCUUCAAAAGCACCCUUUUCCUUCUGCUACCCAAACCUCUAAUAUUCCAGCUAAUUAUCUUCAUUUAAAUUUAUCAAACCCCUUUUGCUCUUCCUUUUCUCUCCUCUUCCCACCCGCACCCCUGAGCUUUUACCAAGGAAUAAGGAUUUUUUUAGUGGCAUCAGCGAAAUCUUCAUGUUUGACAAAAAUUCGCUAGAUCGUCCAGUAGCCUCCCAUUUGUCAGAGACUCGGCCGGACCUUUUCCUUCUGCUAUAUUUAAGCACGUUGUUGUUGUCGUCAUUUUCCUUGGUUUGAUUUUGUUCGACUACCUCAAGAUCUUGUCUGUAAUCCCGUAGGGUACCCUCCUCUUCAGUUGCCGAAAUCAUUUCCUUGUCUCCAUCGGAGAAUAGAUUCUGCAGUAUACCUUCACCACUGUCAAUUGGAUCGAAAUUAGCCUUCUCAUCUUGGGGCGAAUCCCCGAGCUCAACUUCUGAUUCAGAACCCUGAGACCAAUCAUCUUCCUCAGCAAGGUAAUCGAAAUCCAGAGUUGGAAAAAAGUUUCUUGAGGAAAUAUUGCCGCUGACCGGUUCCAUCCUCUGUGCGGCAGAUGUUACACAAAGAGGAUUGUGACCCAUUAACUCCUCCAUCUCUUCGUCCUGAUCCGAAUCGUCAUCUAGGGAUAGAAGAUUAGAAGCACCGAUUUUCUUUGGCGUUUCUUCCUCGUUGAGGUUCAGCCUCGAUCCGAACUCUUUUGGAAGAACAAGUUUAAACCUUUUCUCUGCAUUGGCUAAGUCUCCGAAUUUCGCAAUAAAUUUCAGAUUGCUGCAAAUUAUAGUGGCUUCGAUUCCCUUCUCGUGGGCACGAAAGGUGCUUCUUUCUGAUGCCAUCUGGACUGUGUGAAACAGAUCUACAAACUGAAAAUUUGGCAUCACCAUUACUUCUUUUCCGUGAUGGAAUAACCCAAUUUCUAUCGCCAAUCACCCUUGCUGAGUGAUGAUUCACACACUUCCUCAUACUUGUUUAUGGGUACCUAUCCAACAAAAUUUUGACUUAGUACCCAAAAACUGUAUCAGCUCACGAACAGAUCAAAUUCAAAGCAGAACCCACAUAUUCUGAAGAUUCUAGAGUUAAAAGAGGAGCAAGGAGGUUCGGUUACGGAAUCCAAAACGCCAUUUUAAUGAGCAAAUGAAUACCUAAACUGGGGUUAACAAUUUUCAGCAAUAAAAAACAUGUCUUUCGAUCGAAGUUGCAUAUAUUACAGAACUUUGGGAUUAAGGAGGAACAAAAAGCCCAAUUCCAAUCAAGAAAAAUAAAAAAAAUUGUAUGUAAAUUUAAGCUUUACCUGUAGAUUGGCAGCAGCAAAAGCAUACUGGAUCCAACGGGAGCCACGUGAGAGAACUGGAUGCCCAGCCUUUGACACGUUAUCAAGUGAGUUUAGGGAUCUGGGUUUUGUGCUUGCCGUUGAAUUUUGGAACGAUCCGGAGAAAUUUGGGUUUUAUGGUUCUAAGGGUUUGAGUGAACCGAAAUUGAUUUGGAUGAGCAACUUUUGGUUUCGAUUCGCGGUGGAGCAAGGAUGAAGAGGUGGAGGAGGAAGGAAUGAAGGGGUGAGAAAAUUUGGAUAGGCAGUAUUCGGUUUCGAUUCGAAGUAGAGCAAGAAUAAAGCUCUUGGAAUUCUUUGAACCACUCUAUGAAUAGUAUGACCUGUGAGUGAUUGAUUGUGUAACAAAAAUUAGUAAAAGAGAGUAAGAGUUAUAUAUGAAACUAUAUCAUUGGAACCACUUUGUGAGAAGUUGUAGUACUAUGGUAUACUCACUAUGGUAUACUCACUUUGUCCUUCGGAUGAUUGAACUUGCACAUCGUACAAAUUUGCAUCUUUGAGUCUUCAUAAAGUACUGCAACAUGCAAAUGGAAAAUGAUCAAUUAACAGUUCAAGUGCUUAAAUGCAUUAUUUCUGCAAAAAGAAUAAACAAUUGAAGUGCUACUUACAGGACAAUCUGGUGCUCCAGGUCUCUCGGGAAGGACUUCAGUUGAGCAACGCCAAAGCACAAAUUCAAUGGAAAGAACCAAUGCAAUUUACUUGUGAUGUUAAGUUGAACAUCCGAUGCCUUGGAGAAAUUAUUGAGCAUCAAAUGAUAAAGCAAUCAGAUUAUAGUAAAUUACUAAAUGAUAUUUACAAAAAUAAAAAACAUCAAGUUAAGAGAACAAUGAAAAACUUAAGAAUUAGCCUUAGCAAAGUUAAGAGAACUUAAUGGUAAAAACAAAAAGCUAGCACUUACUCAGUCGCAUUACCUAGACGCUCUGCUAAAGGUACGGUGCCCACUAAGCUGAAGAAGAAGACCCAUCCCUAACAUAUACAAAGUAAUUGUCAAUGGAUUAGGGGUGAAGUCAAUCUAAAUUAUUGAAAGGAUGUGCAAAAAAGAAACCAUGUUGGACACAUUCUUACACAGAACAAGAAAAAAACUUAAAAACAUACACUUAAAAAGUAAAAAACAGGUAUGAAUAUUAAGUGAACCAAAAGCAGAACAAACCCCUAAAAGUGCUUCAGUUCAGGUGGGUUUUCUAGUAUUUUAUCAAUAAUAUCAGAUCAACAAAACCCUUGAUGCAAAUCCAAUCCGAUAUUGAAAACAGAUGAAUAUAAGAGAGGGAAAAAAACACUUUUAUUGGGCCUCAUAUUUACUGCGGCACAGAAUCCACUAUUCUCCAUAGCAAAAGGAAAAUACCGUAUUCUCAGCUUCAAUUUCUUGGAAAUUAAAUAAGGCAUUCACCAGCAUUCCCGCAUAGAAAUCACAUAAAGUGUAUGACCGAUUCACGAAAUUUCAAUUCAAUCUAACUAUCAAUCUAUAAGUGUGAAAUGACUGAUUCGUAUACAUACAUUAUUCAUUUAACCAAAUCUAAAUGGCUGUAUUGUAUAUAUGGCAGUUAACACACGUAUACGAAAGUGAAUGCACAAACAUACAUAACUGAACACAUUUGAACAUUUGAGUAGGAGGGAAUGUAUAAAAUUUGAUGCAUAUAAACAUAUGUACCAAGUAACAAACCAAUCCAUAGUUUCCCUCUUCAAAUAACAAAAUCCACAGAAACCCAGCAUUGAAAAUUCAAGGACACUCAAAAGAACUGUAAACGAAACCGAAAUGCCCAAAUCUCACUGAAGAAAAAGGAAAGAUUCCAAGAUUACACAAAACCCAAAAUAACACAAACAAAUCUCAAAGCAUUUCUCAAAAGGACAUAUUACAAUCAAAGAAAGUGAAAACUCUAAUAAAUUAGCUUAGAGAAUAAAUUACCUAGCAGAGAAGCCCAUUUUUUGGGAGCAGUUUAGCCACAUGCAUGUACCAACAUUGAAAACAAACAAAAAGUUCAUAAAAAAUGAAGAAGAAUCGAAAGAAAACGAAGCAGAAAGGAGCAUACCUGUACUCGUAGAUAUCAUCAAAGUACUUCUCGAAGUACCGGAUCUGACCCUGCUAUUUAAUCCCAAACCACGAUUUCAAGCAAAAUCUCGAACAGGGGUUUUCAAAUUUCUCAGCUUAAUCUGCGAAAUAAAGACUGUUUUCAAGAAAUUAAACAUAUUAUAUGUGCACUGCACACACUUGCGAACCGGCUUACUUAACUAAUAUUUUUCUAGGUCAAAUUUUAAUUAUUUGAUUCCUUGUAUCGAUAAUAUUAGAUGUAAAUACAUGCAUGUUUAUGGAAUUCAAUGAGAAAAACCAUAUACCUCAGUUUUUUCAGAUGAUCAGUCACCCUCCCCCCUAGUCCCUUGAACGUUAAAAUUCUCAUGAGCUUGCUUGUUCCAUGUCGUGCCUUACUCCCAUUCGGAUCCUUCUCUUUCUCCUAGUUGGAGAGACUGAUUCAAGCAAAAUCAAACAUUCAGACAACACAUCUCUCACUUGAUUGAUUGGUACCAAACGAAGGCCAUUGAUACUUAUUUGUAAUUUAAUUAAUAAAAAAAAUUAAACGCUUCAUAAAAUUAUACAAAAAAUUCCAGAAAUUUACGAAAAUAGAGAAAGAGGUUGUACAAAACCUACACAAAAAUUACUAAAUUCCAGAUAAAAUCAUACAAAAAAAAUCCAGAAAUUUAACGAAGAUAGAGAAAGAGGAAAAACCAAAUAUUUCAGCCCAGAUCCUUGAAGUUCUCGAGGACUUUGGACUUUGCCGGGUUGGAGAGAUAGUUUCUCGGAUCAGAAAGUAGGUGGCGUGGCCGGCCUUGGCGCUGGCCUCGACGAUAAACUUUCCGGUGCUGCCGAUGAAGAGGAUUUUGGGCUUGGUUACCAUCAGGAAUGGGAUUGGGGGGAAUCAGAAUGGGAUGUGUUGGAGAGAGAGAGAGAGAGAGAGAGAGAGAGAUUCAAAGUGGUGCAUGAAAGAAGAGGUGGAGAGUCGGUGAGGAGGAGAUUGAGCUCCUUCUGCAGUCGGCAAUCCCAGAGGAAAUCGAAAUGAAAGCACGCGGGAAUGGAGAGUUCGAGAGACAUCCACCAUCAAUAAGUGGAUAAAACACAGGCACAUAUGAAAUAACAAAAAAUAAGAGAGGGCAAAAAAGGAAAAACACUGUAGAAGUAACAGUGUUUUGAGUCCGCUAGGACACCAUGGGAAUUAACCUGAAAGUUACUUUUUUAGUAUAUACUAGCAAAGGCGCCCAAGCGUUGCUGCGGGGUUGAAAAUUGUAUAACACAUGUAGAAGUUCUAAAAUAUAUAUAUAUAUAUAUAUAUAUAUAUAUAUAUACAGUAAAUAAUACAGUUUACAUACAUUUGCAAAUUUAUUUACUACUCUAUCAACAAUAAGGAACAAAAUAAGUGUCCUGGGACGGAAUGAAGCCUAUGGUCAUAAAUUGUCAAAUUUCAUACAUGUCAAACUUCAUUUAAGAAACUGAAAAACUAUAAAGAAUAAAGUGAUAAACAUAUAGAGCCAAUUCACAAUAGGAAACCGUUGCUUCACUAAAUAAGCAGUACCAACAAAAUAAUGCUUUUUUUGCUGCAAAAGAUUAGAAAAAGGGAAACAAAAUAUUUAUUUCUAUUUUAUAUUAUGCGGAAAAAAACUUGGAAGAAGAAGCAAUAGUGAAAAGAUCAUAUUUAUUUCAAUUUUUUAGGCAGAGAAAAAUAAAACAAAAUACCCAUUUCAAUAAACAACCUAAAACCCAUUUCACGUUUGUGGGUUUCGAUAUUGCACAAUUAUAUAUGGGAAACAAAUGGCUGUUAAAAGAUUCCUAAAAAAAUUUCUACUCGUUUUCGUACAGUUUUUCUAGAGCCAAAUAGAAACCAACAAUGAAGACACAUUAUGAGAAAGUAUUGAUGAAAACACAGUGUACACAUACCUCCUUAAACCUUUCCUCCUUUUGCUUAGCCUGCAAUUGGAAUAGAUUAUGACUUAGGCAUAAACUCAGAAAUCGGUAAAGAAUGAAACCCAAAAGUAAAUUGCAGUUUCUUAUUAUCAUUUCUCUUAGAAAAGACUAACAAAAUUGUUUCUUAAAAAUUUAAAAUAACAAUAUGUAUAUAAGCAGGAUUGUGCUUAAUUUUCUCUAAUUAAAGAAAUGGUUUGCGCAAUUUAGAACCUAAUAUAACAAAAGCAUACAACAACAACAAAAGCCUUUUCCCACUAAGUGGGGUCGGCUAUAUGAAUCCUAGAACGCCAUUGCGCUCGGUUUUGUGUCAUGUCCUCCGUUAGAUCCAAGUACUCAAGUCUUUUCUUAGGGUCUCUUCCAAAGUUUUCCUAGGUCUUCCUCUACCCCUUCGGCCCUGAACCUCUGCCCCGUAGUCACAUUUUCGAACCGGAGCGUCAGUAGGCCUUCUUUGCACAUGUCCAAACCAUCGGAACCGAUUUUCUCUCAUAUUUCCUUCAAUUUUCGCUACUCCUACUUUACCUCGGAUAUCCUCAUUCCCAAUCUUAUCCUUUCUCGUGUGCCCAUACAUCCCAGAAGCAUCCUCAUCUCUCCGCUACACACCCAUUUUGUGUACGUGUUGAUGCUUCACCGCCCAACAUUCUGUGCCAUACAACAUCGCUGGCCUUAUUGUCGUCCUAUAAAAUUUUCCCUUGAGCUUCAGUGGCCUACGACGGUCACACAACACGCCGGAUGCACUCUUACACUUCAUCCAUCCAGCUUGUAUUCUAUGGUUGAGAUCUCCAUCUAAUUCUCCGUUCUCUUGCAAGAUAGAUCCUAGGUAGCGAAAACGGUCACUUUUUGUGAUCUUCGCUAGAUUGCUCCGGUCAUUAGUGUGAAUAAGUAUAUAAAUGGAUAGAGAUAGGAAAGCAAACACAAGAUGUACGUGGUUCACCCAGAUUGGCUACGUCCACGGAAUAGAGGAGUUCUCAUUAAUUGUGAAGGGUUUACACAAGUACAUAGGUUCAAGCUCUCCUUUAGUGAGUACAAGUGAAUGAUUUAGUACAAAUGACAUUAGGAAAUAUUGUGGGAGAAAGAUCUCGUAACCACGAAACUUCUAAGUACCGGAGUGUGGUAUCGUCUUGACUUGCCUUAUCUGUCUCAUAGGUAGAUGUGGCAUUCUCUGGAAGUACUCUUCCUCCAUCCAGGGGUGGUAUCUGUAACUGGUGGAGAUGCACAAGGUAAUGUAUCAAUUUCACUUGAAGCUUACUUGUAGUUUCAGGCUUGGUCAAGCGCGAUACAAACCAUGUAGUAGGAGUCCCCCAAGUCGCCGGGCUAGGGGAUCUGCUGAAAGAGGUGACAGACAAGGUAAGCAAUCAGAGCCUGCAGUGCCUUUUGGAAGCUUAGUCCUAUUUCGAAAAUCUACAAAGAGAACAAUUGUGAACCCAAAUUAAAGCUUUUUCUCUCACUCAAAAGAAAAAUAGAAACUCUAUACAACAACAACAACAACAACAACAACAAAGCCUUUUCCCACUAAGUGGGGUCGGCUAUAUGAAUCCUAGAACGCCAUUGCGCUCGGUUUUGUGUGAGAUUGUGCAUAAUCAAAAGGCUUGAAAACAAUUGAGAUUGUGCAUAUAGAAACUCUAUAUGGAAAAAAAAUUGAAAUUGUGCAUAAUCAAAAGUGGAUCAAAACUCUAAAUAGAUUAUCUUAACGCGUAGGAGAUCAUUGUUAGAAUUUGAAAACAAUUGAAACUUCAUUUUAAACACAAACUUAAUCAAUUGAUUUAUAUUUAAAUGGAAAGAAAGUAGCGGUCAAUUUUACCUAUCUUUUGUUUAGUGUAGCUCCAUUUCUAUCUUUGAUUAAAAGCUUGAAUUUUGACUUUUCUGGACAUUCUAGUGAACUUUGCCAAUAAAAGUUCAAAUUCUGAAACAAAAAAGUGAGUGGCGAACCUGAAAAAGUUCAAAUGACUUUGCCAAUAAAAGUUUUGAAGCAAUUCAUUUUUAGGAACAAAAAUCUGAAAGAGAACACAUGAAAGGGAAACCAACUUUAAAUUUCAUACUAUUUGGCAAAAAAGUGAGUGGCGAACCUGAAAAAGUUCAAAUGACUUUGCCAAUAAAAGUUUUGAAGCAAUUCAUUUUUAGGAACAAAAAUCUGAAAGAGAACACAUGAAAGGGAAACCAACUUUAAAUUUCAUACUAUUUGGCCCACACCUAACCCAUUCAAAAUGCACUGAAGAAACAAAGGUCAGGACUAUAGAACACGACAUGAACUUUUUCAAGUAUAUACGACAUGAACUUUUUCAAGUAUAUAGAAGUUUCGGUAGAUGUCUACUCAGCAGAACACAGAAGUAUGCAUAAUAAGAGAAAUUCCUUAUGCAAUUAGAAACAAUUUCAAAUGAGAAGCUCACUCUGGAGACUGAAAGUUGACCCCUUAACGUGCUCAAGUUCUCCACCAUUUUAACUUUUUCUUUCUCCACGCAUUUAAAUUCUUUCUCAACUUUUAAGAAGCCAUUGUGCAGUUUACUAUUGUAUUGUUGCAAGCUUGCCCUGCUCAGGAAAACACGGAAGUAAGAUUCAUAGAUACAUAAUAAGAGAAAUUCCUUAUGUAAUUAGCAACAAUUCCCCUUAACAUGCUCAGGUUCUCCACCAUAUUAACUUUGUGCUCCUCCAUGCACAAAUUCUUCAUCAACUGUUAAGAAGUCAUUGUGCAAUUUACUACUGUAAUGUUGCAAGCUUGCAAUGUAUUCUUGCGAUCGUUUGCACAUAUCAUUCACUGAAGUUAUUUGCAGAGUUCUGAAAAGAAAAUUUUUCAAAUUAAAACAUUUGUAAGGGAAAUCCAUACCUGUUGGCACGGAAGCAAAAGAAGGAAGGAAUGCAUAUUCUACUUUACCUUCUAAGUAACACUUGAAAGCUCUCUUUGAACUCUCAUGUGCCCUGCAGCCUGAUACACAUAUUAAAACAUUUAAUAAUGUAGACAACUUAACCAAGCUCAGCCACAUUGAAUAUCAAACCCACCUACAAACAAAAUGCUUCUGGAUCUCUUCAGCUGUUUCAGCUGGUUUCUUCACUCCUAUAACAUAAGGCCAAAAUACCCACAUCAAUACUACCUAAGCUCUGUAAUUCCUAUGGAAAACUUGUAUAUAACCAGCCUACUCUUUUCAAAAGGAAUUCGGUGUAUAAAAAAAAUGAGAAAUUCUAAAACUACGCAGCAGAAAUAAAGAAAAAACAAAAACUUACUAUGUCUUAUGACUCUAAUUCCAAUUGCCCUUCAAGCUCUCUAACUUUUGAACCACCAUGGUCAUACUGAUGAAUUCAUAACCAUGAAACCAAAAUCAUUACGUUGACAAAUAAACAUAACCAAAAACAAAAACAACUAAAUUUUUCAAAUGGGUAUCCCAAAAAUUCCCAGCCAAGUUAUCGAAAACUGAGCGACCUGUGCUGAGAGGGUGAUUGCCUUGGUCUGAAGCGUCUGCAGCUUCCUCUCCUUCUACCUCGCAGCUGAUUGCCUAUUAGCUAAAUCCUACAAAACCAAAAAAUUGAAAAACCACAAUUUCUCAUUCAAUCAUAUAAUAUCCACAAAAAUAACCCAAAAAUUCAACAUAAACACACAUAAAUAAAAAGGACGAUGAGGAGGAGGAUCAUAUGGAGAGUUUUCUGAGGGCUAAAAAGGACUUGGUGCUCACGCUGGCAUCGUAUGCUUUACACGCCGGAUAUGACUCCGAUGAGGAGGUAUAUGCGGCCGCCAAGGCCGUCGAUGCCGGGUUGUUGGAGUACGAUUCAGAUGAUAAUCCCAUUGUUCUGGACAAGAGGAAGAUCGAGCCGAUUCCAGCUCUCGAUCACAGUUCAAUCGACUACGAGCCGUUUAAUAAGGAUUUUUACGAGGAGAAAGAGUCGAUUUCAGGUAAAUUCCAACCGAACUGAGAAUUUUUUUUCUUUUUCAUUCACAUUUUUCAUUCUUGUGAAUUUAGUCGAAAUGCGUAGCAAAGUAUUCAAAGGGUCUAUUCAAUUGGAAUUUUGAAAGGGUUUUAAUUCUUUUAAUGGAUUUAGGGGUAUUCAAUCAAGAUUUUAAAUAAUUAUUUGAAAUUCAAGAUGUAUUCAAUUAGAAUUUUAAGAUAGUUUAUUAAAAUCCUUAGAAAUUCGGAUGUAUUCAAUUAGGAUUUUAAAGAAGUUUAUAACAUUUCAGGUGUAUUCAAUUAGAAAUUGAUUUAAAAGAAUUUGAGAAAGAUGAGGAAUUAGAGGGAAUUGGAGAGAUUUUAUAGUGUAUUUUAAGCAUCCACAAAUCUCACAUCUUCCCAUGAGAUUUCGAGGGAAUUGAAUCAAAAUUUUAUGUGGAAUCUCUACAAAUCAAUUAAACUUCAUAAAAAUCCAUAGAUUUAUAAAUCUAUGAAAGUCUCUCAAAUUCUCGAUUGAAUAGACCUCCUAAAUUUGAGUGAGAGAGAAUCUAGACCGGCAGAAGUUCUCAAGGAGACAUUUGAAAUGGAAGGCUAGAGUUAACUGGUGUUUUGUUUUCCUUGUUUAGGGAUGGGUGAAGAUGAUGUUUUUUAGUACAAGAAGAGCUUGGCCAUCCGUACGUCGGGUUUUGAUGUACCGAGGCCAGUUAAGACAUUUGAAGAUUGUGGAUUUUCUUCACAACUCAUGGCUGCCAUAAAAAAACAAGACUACCAAAAGCCGACACCAAUACAAUGCGCAGCUCUACCCAUAGUUCUUUCCGGGAGAGAUAUAAUUGGUAUUGCGAAAACUGGUUCUGGAAAGACUGCCGCUUUUGUCCUUCCAAUGAUUGUCCACAUUAUGGAUCAGCCAGAACUUCAAAAAGAAGAAGGUCCCAUUGGAGUGAUAUGCGCUCCUACUAGAGAGCUGGCGCACCAAAUAUACUUAGAGUCCAAAAAAUUUGCGAAAUCACAUGGGAUACGUGUCUCUGCUGUAUGGUGGAAUGUCUAAGCUUGAUCAGUUCAAAGAACUUAAGGCAGGAUGUGACAUAGUUGUUGCUACUCCUGGGAGAUUGAUAGACAUGCUUAAAAUGAAGGCACUGACAAUGCAAAGGGCAACUUACCUAGUACUUGAUGAGGCUGAUCGGAUGUUUGACCUAGGGUUUGAGCCUCAAAUUAGAUCUAUUGUUGGUCAGAUUCGGCCAGACCGACAGACAUUGCUCUUUUAUGCGACAAUGCCCCGUAAAGUUGAAAAAUUGGCUAGGGAGAUUCUCUCAGAUCCUAUAAGAGUUACAGUGGGUGAGGUGGGAAUGGCCAAUGAGGAUAUCACUCAGGUUGUUCAUGUAAUUCCUUCUGAUGAUGAAAAGCUGCCCUGGCUUCUUGAGAAGUUACCUGGAAUGAUUGAUGAGGGUGAUGUUUUAGUAUUUGCUUCAAAAAAAGUUGCAGUGGAUGAGAUCGAGUCACAGCUUGCUCAGAAAGGUUUUAAAGUCACAGCUCUGCAUGGUGACAAGGACCAGGCAUCUCGGAUGGAUAUUUUGCAAAAAUUUAAAUCUGGCAUUUACCAUGUUCUUGUUGCAACUGAUGUUGCUGCUCGUGGUCUUGACAUCAAGUCAAUUAAGUCAGUUGUGAACUUUGAUAUUGCAAAGGACAUGGACAUGCACGUCCAUCGAAUUGGUAGAACAGGUCGGGCUGGUGAUAAGGAUGGCACUGCGUACGCUUAUUGCACAGAAAGAGGCACGUUUUGCUGGUGAGUUGGUUAAUAGCUUGGUUGCUGCUGGUCAGAUUGUCUCCACGGAGCUCAUGGACCUUGCGAUGAAGGUAAUUUUGCAGUACUAUUAACAAUUUUUUUUGUGGUUUAUAUAGCGAGUUUAUACAUGCAUCCAACUACCUGCCUUUUUGUUUUAGAGAUGGUGGUUAUAACCAUAGUUUGUAAUCCUAUAAUGCAUUUAAGGCGAAUACAAGUUAUUAAUAUGUUCUCUGGUAAAACGUGCUCUUUUAAUGCAAUCUAGAUUCUGGACAAUUACACCUACAGGUGUUUGUCUCACAAAUAAACUACGUUACUUUCACUCUACUAUAUAGGUGCAUAGGUUGCUUCUGAUUUAGAGUGGGCUUUCGAGAGAGAUGGAUUUGAUGACCAUUUGGUCUUCAAGGCCUUAUUUUGGAAAGCUUCAGUUUGUCCUUGGAAUUACAGCGAUUUUGAGAUCGUUGACUUCAUAAUGUCAAGAUAGUCAAUUUCAGGAAAAGUGCUUAGUUUAGAGAGAGAGUAAUUAGACAGUCUUUAGUAGUCCCAUCUUUACUUCGUACCAUGCUUUGCAUAGAAAAGGGGUUUUUGGGGGUGUAUGUUGGCUUGUGUAUUGAAGCAUAGAGAUGAAUUGAAGAUGAAGCUCAGUCUGGGGACUUAUUAGCUUUUUAUGUAUUAUUAAGUUCUUGCUUGCAUUCUGGGCUACCAAUACAUCGGUUGAGGCCAACCAAUUUGCAUUAAAGAACAAAGAGAAAAAUUGCAUUUUAAGUACUAAAUCUUAAUUACCACAUGGACCCUUAGUAAAUUGUCACUUAUUUUCCCUUGUGCCAAUAUAUCUCAUAUACAUAAAUGCACAGCUUAUCAUGAUAGGUGGCUGCACCUGCAUUAGUUUUAGAAGUUUUACACUAUGAGAGCCACUCAUGCAUCAUUUCUUCAGUCUUGCGACUUUUAAUUCUUGCUUGCUGCUUGUAGCUUUGUAUUUCACGUCCCUCAUAAAUACACUGGUUUCCAUCUCCUACAUGGAUGUACAUCUUUAUAGUUAUUUUGGGUGCACCUCGUCUGUGGAACUUUUGUUGCUUUCCCUUACUAUGUUUCUUGUUUGAUAGCUUUAGAUGUUAGCAUGAGAUGUCAGAUUUCAGAUCUUACAUUCUCUAUUUUAAUGGGAUUUACCUUGUUUAUUAUCAGGAUGGUAGAUUCAGGUCAAAACGCGAUUCAAGAAAAGGAGGUAUAAACUUUAAUCAUACUAAAAUUUCAAUUUUCUUAAGAUUCUUUUGCAGUUUCAUAUUAAAUUAGCCUUUUUCUGUAAUUUCAAAUGAUGAUAUUUAUGGAUUCUGCAGGUGGAAAGAAAGGUAGAGGAAGGGGCGGCGGUGGUCGAGGUGUGCGUGAGGUGGAUUUUGGUCUGGGUAUUGGAUAUAAUACGGAGUCCAAUAGUUCUUCAUCGAAUACUGUUCCUAGUCGAUCUGCCGCAGAAACUCCUCAGAGGACAGGAAUGAUGUCUCAGUUCAAGACUAAAUUUGUUGCCGCUUCAUCUAACUCUCCAAGUCAAGGUUCAGGUAACAACUCUAGUGUGCCCAACAGACCGGCAUUACGAGGAUUUGUAUCCGAUGGUUCAAUCGGUGGGGAUGUAUAUAGAACUCAGACAGCCAGUACAAUUACUCCUGGUCCUCCUACAUCAGUGGUAAAUAAAACUGCUGCUCGGAACACCGGAGCAAAUACAAGUCAGAAGGCCUCCGAAAGGUUAAUAAAAUUGAUGCUCGGUUAGAAUUUUCAAUGUCUUUACGUAUUUGAUUGGUGCUGAUCAGUUUCAUUUGUGUCUUUUGCAGUUCUAGAGACAAACCUAGAGAAAGGCGGCGGCGCUCCGGUUGGGACUGUUGACCGUCCAGUUGAACUCCACCACUCUCACAUCGUGAAUGACGAGUUUUGUAUCUUUUGUAGAUUAAGGCCUGAUAUGCCUGUAUUAUUGUUGAACUUGGUCACUUUCUUUGUCGCUGUGUUUUAAGUUAAAAGAAAUAUAAGAGUUUGUAACUUGCUGCACAAAUAGUAGAUGGCCUAAAAGAUAGUCGGUUUAAAUCAUUAAAUACAUUAUAAAGCGGGCCUCACAAAAAAGUGUCAAAAGUUGUGUUAAAAAAUGUGGUGUUUCACAUCUCUGCUCCAUAUGUUAUUUUUAUUGAUCACUUCGAAUUACUUCAUAAUUCAACAAUUGGUACUGUUCCACUUCUCUUCCUCUCUCCCUUGGUAUACAUAAUAUCAUUUGUUCAAAAAAAAAAAAAAACAAUUGGUACUGUUAAUAUAAUACAAUAUGGCUUUGUUCGAUGUCAAGGAUUGGAUUGAUUUGAUUGGCUUAGUGAUAGGAAUUAUAACGCACCACAAAGUAGCACACAAUAAUCCUAUUGAUUUUCCUUAUUAUCACUAAAUUUGUCGAUUGUAGCAUAUGAAAAUAAGGGUCUUUUCCGCAGAAGAUUGUUUUAGCCAACUACUUAAAAUGUCACAAAAACGGGGUGGCUAUCUCCAUUGACCAGCCACUGAAAAUAAUUAUUAAACUGACUUAUACUCAUCCAAAUGCAACGAAAUUUUGUACAUAUAAACUAGACACACCGAGCUAUGUUCACACAAAUUUUUGGGAUUUUUGGAUUUGAUUAGCUAUUUAAAUUAAAUCGCACAAAACAGAACAACACAAAUUUUAAAUAAUACCAAGAAAUUUUAAUUCACAAAUUAAGAAAACGAGUUAGGGGAAAUGCUAUCCACCACCAAAUAAUCAUGCAAGCAUGUUAUGUUUCAUUAAAAUUCCUUUUAUUUCUGGAUGAAGAUGCUCAAGUUGGCUCAAUGUUAGAACUCAAUCUAUUACUCUUUCUUACGUAGUAUGUUAAGAGAAUGGCGUUUUCAACUUAACUUAGUCCCUAGCAUGCAAUCUAGAAUGGCGUAUUCAUAGAUUUAACAAGUAGAAAUCAUUAAGAAUAAAAAGAGUUUGAGUCAUCACAAGGCAUCGUAAGUACUGGUGUUGUCUUACUUAUCCUAGAAAUCGUUUCACAUGUUAACCACAAUUAACAAGUGCUACUCUAGAACAUAUGUAGGUCCUCAUUCAACAAGGGCAGGCACACAUAUAUUCAUAGCAUUAAAAUCCUAGAUAUGCUCACUAUGUAUGCAUCCAUAGAAACACAUAAAGAAUUUAUCAAUGACAUAAGUAGUGAAACAAUUUUCAUCCUUUCAUAAAAGUCAUUCAAACAAAAUAUCACAACAAACUUACAAUCAUAUUCGGGGCUUCAAAACAGCCCCUAACUACUAAAAAUUAGUUACACAUCAUUAUUUUCAAAUUAAACCAAAAGUUAAACAUGAGUUUGAGACAAUAGAACCGAAAUAGAAGAGUGCAGAGGUUUCCUCUUUCCCUUGCCAAGCUUGCAGUGCAGCUUAAGCUCUCUUUUUCUAUUGACAGCUAGGACAGUAUGGGAGAGAUAAUAUUGACAGCUAGGACAGUAUGGGAGAGAGGAAAUAUGACAGUAUGGAGAGAGGGAAUAUUGCUCGUGAAAAGGAAUGUUGUAUAUUCCUUGACAGAUAGACAAUGCUGUAUGGGAGAAAGGAAUGCUGCUUAUUUUUUCUCUAGUUGCUGCAUCAUGACAGCAAGCACAACACCUGUAUUGCUUUUCUUUAUUGCAUGCGUGUAUGUAAAAUGCAUAUAAACAAUGCUGCCGUUGCAGCAGAAUGAAUAAGAAAGAAACAACAAAGUUGAAACCAAAACAUCAAUAUGGUAUCAGAGCAGGAACCAUAGGGUCCUGCCUCUGUUGAUUAUCCUUCUAGCUUGUUCUUCUUCCUCUGUUCAUCAUUUGUUGUGAUGGCAGAAGAUAUCUCAUUUAGUUAUGAGGCUACAAGUCCCUCAACUCUAACACCAGCCAACAUGAUACACGGGGAGAGCAACCCACGACUGUGCUCUGUGUUGUUGAAUGAGUUCAACUACUUGCCGUGGUCACGAGCUAUAUCUCUUGCCCUAGGAGGAAGAUCGAAACUAGGGUACGUAAAUGGAACCAUCAAGCCUCAAGAGUCUUCCUCAGCUACCUUUGAUGCAUGACACUCAAAUGACCAGCUUGUUAUGUCCUGGAUACUUAACUCGAUGGAGCCCAAGUUGUCCGGGAUCUUCAGCUACUCAGAUUCUUCACACAUCUUAUGGGAAUCGAUCAAGGAAAUGUACGGCAGUCAACACAAUGCUGCUCGUGUGUUUGAACUGAAGAAAAGCCUCGCUGGGCUUAAGCAAGGUGAUCAAACUUUCAUUCAGCAUCUUGGAAGCAUGAAAUCUAUGUGGAAUGAACUUGAUCUAUACCGUCCACACACCACUGAAUCCGCUGUACUCUUGAAAAGGGCUGAUGAAGAUAAAGUGUUCCAACUAUUGGCAAGUUUGGGAGUUGAGUAUGAAGACUUGCGUAGCCACUUACUAAUGAAUCCUAAGCUACCAUCUUUCGUCAACGUGUGUCAUGCAGUCCAAAGAGAAGAAACUCGAAGGAAAGUAAUGCAUGUUGAGCCCCGGUCUAGCCCAAAAGCUAGGGUUUUCACUAGUAACCACAACUUCACUAGUGAAAGGCCUUUUAAUGGAAGGAAAGCUGACUGGAAAUGCACAUACUGCAACACCAAGGGGCACGUACGGGAAAAAUGCUGGAUUUUACAUCCUGAGUUAAAACCUAAGUUUAACAAGGAAGGAAAAAUGAUUAGGGAUGGGAAAGGGUUUGCGCCUAAAGCCUUCCAAUCUCUGAGUUGUCCAUCUAAUGAGAUGUCAAACUUCACCUCAAACCCUAUCUCCCUGAUCAAUGAGUUUGCCGCCUUUCUCCAAAAGAAGAGUGAUAUCGCUGAGGGUAACAAUGUCACCACGGAAAAUCCCACAGAAAUGCUUGGAAAAUUUGCUGGUUUUUUGGCAAAUUCAAACACCACUAAAUUCGGCAAUAUCCCAGGUAUCAUUUGUGCACUUUCCACGGCUCUCAAUGUAUAUCUCACACACGAUUUUUAGAUUAUAGACUCAGGUGCCACUGACCAUAUAACCAACAAACAAGCUUGUCUACAUGAGUUUCAAAAAUUACCUAAUCAUACUCAUGUGUCUGUAGCGAAUGGGAAAGGGGAACCAGUUCUAGGAAAAGGAAAAAUUAAAUUGAUGGGGAGUGAUGUAGAGUCUACGGCACUAUAUGUACCCUCAUUUCCAUUUCAACUUCUGUCCAUAGGAAAAAUCACACAUACUUUGAACUGUCUUGCUAUUUUUUCUCCUCACACAGUUGUAUUUCAGGAUCGAGUCACUCAGAAGAAGAUUGGUGAGGGUUUUUUCUUAAAUGGUCUGUACUACCUCUCAAAGGAGUUCAAUCAAGUUAAGGAACCCAUUGUCAACCUAAGCCAUGUCCAGAAGCAUCAACUUUGGCACCAACGCCUAGCUCAUCCCUCCGAACCAGUAAUGUCUAAAUUAUUUUCCAAAUUAUUGUACCAACACACAUGAGUGUGAGAUCUGUCAAAUGUCAAAAGCCACUAGGCUACCUUUUGUACCCUCUAAAUCUAGAACUAGUAAACCCCUUGAAGUUGUACACUCAGAUAUUUGGGGACCUUCCCGUGUUGAGUCAUUUGAUAGGUACAAGUAUUUUGUUACAUUCAUAGAUGACUACUCUAGGGUUACUUGGUUAUAUCUCUUAAAGUCUAAAAGUGAAUUUUUUUUACAGCUUUUCAAGACUUUCAUAAGCUAAUAACCAACCACUUCUCCUCAAAAAUAUGUACCUUACGGUCAGAUAAUGGCACCGAGUAUACCUCCAAUAAUCUGUCAAACUACUUAAGCAGUCAUGGUAUCUUGCAUCAAACUAGUUGUGUAGGUACACCACAACAAAAUGGUGUGGCCGAACGCAAGAAUAAGGAUUUAUUGGAGAAAACUAGGUCUCUUAUGUUUCAGAUGCAAGUUCCCAAGAGAUUCUGGUCCCAAGCACUCCUUACUGCAGCCUAUAUCAUUAACAGACUUCCCACUCGUGUCCUGAAUUCCAAAUCACCUUUUGAAGUUAUGAAGGGAAGAACUGCUGAUUUAACUCAUUUCAGGAUUUUUGGGUGCACGUGUUAUGUUCACGUUCAAGCAAAUCAUCGUGAUAAACUCGAACCUCGAGUUAUCAAGUGUGUGUUUAUGGGGUACUCGAGUUCUCAAAAGGGAUACAAAUGUUAUAACCCACACACUGGGAAGCUGGUUGUCUCUAGGGAUGUACGGUUUGAUGAACACGUUCAUUUCUUCAACAAUCACUCCCCAAAUAGUUCUCAGGGGGAGAGUCUAAUGGAUAUUUUUCCACUACCAACUCUCGCUGAAAUCCAUACAGACACCCCCCCAGUGAUCCUCCAGUUGAUGAGAUGGUCAGUGAAGAUAUACCUCGUGCCCCAGCACCAGUUGUUGCCACACAACCAAUUGUAGCAACACAAAAAAGGAAUCCAACUCGCGAUCGCAACCCUCAUCGACGGCUACAAGAGUACAUCACUUACAGUGCAAGGCAUCCCAUUUCUGAAGCUCUCACUUAUCACAAACUGUCAGCAUCUCAUGCAUCAUUCCUAAGUCAGUUGGCAAACAAUGUUGAGCCUAAAAACUUUCAAGAAGCAGUAUGUAUACCUGUGUGGAGAGAUGCCAUGCAUGAUAAGCUCAAAGCACUGAACGAAAAUCAAACCUGGAGUGUAGUAGAUCUUCCCAAAGGGAAGAAAGCCGUAGGGAGUAGAUGGAUUUACAAGACCAAAUUCAAUUCUAAUGGUACCAUUGAAAGACACAAGGCCCGGUUGGUUGCACGGGGUUUCACUCAAACUUACGGCAUUGACUACAAGGAGACCUUUGCUCCCGUUGCCAAAAUGAACACAGUGAGGGUGUUGUUAUCAGUAGCAGUCAACCACGACUGGCCCUUGUUUCAAAUGGAUGUUAAAAACGCAUUUCUUCACGGUGAGCUUCAAGAAGAGGUGUACAUGAAGCUACCUCCAGGACACCCUCAAGAAAAAGAACCUACCAAAGUCUGCAAGCUUCAUAAAGCUAUAUAUGGACUUAAACAGUCUCCUCGAGCUUGGUAUGCCAAACUAAGCUCUGUUCUUGAAGUGGCAGGGUUCAAAAGGAGUCAUGAUGACUCAUCUCUCUUUGUUCGAAGUGGUGUCCAAGGGAAGCUUGUAGUUCUUAUAUGUUGACGACCUUAUCAUCACGGGGGACAACAUGGAUGAACUCGAGGCUCUUAAAAGGUCGCUUCACCAACAGUUUGCCAUUAAAGAUUUGGGAUCCUUGAAAUAUUUUCUGGGUAUUGAGAUGGCUACCUCAUCCAAGGGUUUAUUCUUAAAUCAAAGGAAGUAUGUUCUUGACCUUCUUGAUGAAGCACAUAUGGUCAACUGCAAACCUGCCCGCACCCCACUUGCUAGCAAACUUCAACUGGAUGCUCCAGGUACCCUUCUUUCAAAUCCUAAUGUGUAUCAACGCAUGGUUGGGAAACUCAUUUACCUCACUAUCACACGGCCUGAUAUUGCUUACUCCGUAAGCCUUAUCAGUCAGUUUAUGCAUUCUCCUACAUUGGUUCAUUGGGAAAUUGUCAAGAGAAUACUUCGAUACCUCAAGGGCUCGAUCGGCAGAGGCAUACUCAUGCAGAAAAAUGAGUCUAAUCACAUUCUGGCCUAUACCGAUGCGGAUUGGGCUGGUAAUUCCCUUGAUCGAAAAUCCACCACAGGUUUUUGUACCUUUGUAGGUGGAAACCUUGUCACCUGGAAAAGUAAAAAACAAACAGUGGUUGCACGGUCCAGUGCUGAAGCUGAAUAUCGGGCCAUGGUAGCAACAGCUUCUGAACUCAUCUGGUUGAAGAGUCUCCUUCUUGAUCUUGGCUUCACCAGUAAGGAACCCAUGUCCUUAUUCUGUGACAACCAGGCUGCCAUGCAUAUUGCAUCCAAUCCUGUAUUCCAUGAACGGACUAAACACAUUGAAGUUGACUGCCACUACAUCCGCACUCAAGUUCAAUCCAAAGUCAUCGAAACUGUGUACACUAGAAGUCAUGAUCAACUUGCGGACCUUUUCACGAAAGCUCUUGAUUUUACACAGUUUCAACGGUUAUUGUUCAAGCUUGGAUCAAUCAACCCCCUUAAUCCCGCUUGAGGGGGAGUAUUGACAGCUAGGACAGUAUGGGAGAGAGGGAAUAUGAUAUUGACAACUAGGACAGUAUGGGAGAGAGGAAAUAUGACAGUAUGGAGAGAGGGAAUAUUGCUCGUGAAAAGGAAUGUUGUAUAUUCCUUGACAGAUAGACAAUGCUGUAUGGGAGAAAGGAAUGCUGCUUAUUUUUUCUCUAGUUGCUGCAUCAUGACAGCAAGCACAACACCUGUAUUGCUUUUCUUUAUUGCAUGCGUGUAUGUAAAAUGCAUAUAAACAAUGCUGCCGUUGCAGCAGAAUGAAUAAGAAAGAAACAACAAAGUUGAAACCAAAACAUCAAUAUUUUCCUUCUGCUCUUCUUUUCCCUUCUGCUCUCUGCACUUCCUCUUCUUCUAUCCGUCUCUCCCUCUUUCCUCUUCUUUCGUUUUUGUUCUUCUCCUCUGCUCUGUCCGUUUCCUCUCUUCUUUAUAUUUUUUUCUUCUUUCUUCUUUUCUUCUUUCUGUCCUUUUCUUCUUUUCCUUUCUUUGUUUUGUUUUCUUUCUUUUCUUAUGUAACCCCCCCUUUUCUUCUACAAACAUCAUUAUGAAUCAUGAUGAUGUUUCAAACAUCAUCAUGACUCAUCAUUAUCUUUUUUUUUAAUUUAAUUUAAAAGCUGAUCUACACAGAGACGAAUUUAUUACAUAAAAUUUCACUUGUUCUAUUUUUAUUUUCUUUGCUAGACAAAUCCUAUAAUACGCAAAAACAAAGUAAUAGCUCAAAAAUAUAAGGAACUAACUAAUAAAAGACAAAUGAAAUUGAUGUAAAAUAUAUAUAAAUAUGAACUUAUCACUUAGCUUGAAAAAUCACAAAAUUCAGUGAAUAAAAAUACAGAUUGUUUAUUUUGUCCAAAUGAAGAUGGAAGAGAAAAAGAAACAGACUAGUAUAACAAAUAUUUACGGACCAUGCAUCGAUUAUUAAUUACACCUAUACGUCAAUUGAUAAUUAUAAUUUUUGUUUUUAAAUGUUAUUAUCUCUUAAAUAAAUAACCAUGUUGUUUUUAUCUCCUCAUCCUAUGUUACGUGUCGAAUUCGUGUGAAGUCUGGCGGGACAAGAGAUGACUUUGAUCACCAUGAGCUCCUUUCCAUAGCCAUUUUUCUUUACCUUGAGCCCCUUACACAAAGUCCGUUCUUAAGAUCUGGAGUUUUCUCUCAAUGGCUGCUAAAAGUUCCCGAGAUUCUUCUUCGUCCUCUUACCGGUGUUCCGCCUUCUUGAGUUUCAGAGGCAAGGACACGCGCAAGGGGUUUACUGAUCACCUCUAUAGAGCCUUGGAGCUAGCAGGAAUCCACACGUUUAGAGACGAUGAUGAAAUCAAGAGAGGGGAGAAUAUUGAGUCGGAGUUAGAGAAGGCGAUACAGGAGUCACAAGUAUCCAUAAUUGUCUUCUCCAAGGACUACGCUUCCUCAAGGUGGUGUUUGAACGAACUUCUGAAGAUCGU
rnacentral:lncRNA from 1 species